rnacentral:lncRNA from 1 species
UUUUUUUUUUUUUUUUUUUUUUUGUUUGUGUUGAUUUCCUGGGAUAUAUAUAUAUAUAUAUAUAUUAUUUACGGGUGUUUAAAUCAGAGUCGUGAUUUUUUACCUGAAAAAUGGCUCACCUUUCUCCUUGCGUGCUUGGACCGAAUGUUAAUACUUAGGGAGGGCUUUCUGCAAUCUGAUUGAUCAUUUUAACAUUUAUCACGUGAAGUCCUGAAAAAAAAAACUAGCCGUUAAUUUGCAGCAAAUUAAUCAUAUUUUAGUACACACAACACAAGUGCUGUUUGUUUUUCGUAUAUCCCUCCUUAUUUGAAUAGCAGCAUUACUCUUUUAAGUAAAUAAAUAAUACUCCAGUAAAUUAGUUCGCAAGAUACUCUUUUAAUUUUGUCGCUGUCAAAUUCAGGAUUAAAAAAGAAAAAGUGCAAGUAAAAUAAAAAAAAUUACCUCAAUUCUGUUUUUUUUUUUUUUUGCCCUCUCCAUCAUCGAUAAGAUAAAGCUCAUGCCCCCUAAUCUGUCGUGAGAAUGCACUCUGGCGACACUGGCCGUUUUGUCCUGCCUUUUAAGAGGAAAAUGUUAGCAAGUGAAACUCGUAACAUGUGCAAUUGAUCAGAAUUUGAAUUUGCACAUGCCUGUCCAUAUUAAGGAUAGAUUCAAUGGUUGGCGUCUCUUUAACUUCUACCCGAAUUCAUUCAUGCCUAUUCGAUGAAGAUUGCAAAAUCUUGACUGUUGACCCCAGCAACUUUUCUUGCUUAGUAAUUUCUAUCGUGCUCCUAGUUAUCCUCUCCACGCUUCUUCGGAUAACAAAAUCUGUGUGUGUUUGGAUGAAAGAUUAUUUACGAAAGAAAAUUUUGAAAUCAAUAUUGUAACGUCCUUUUUUUAUAUGUAUAUCAUGUGUGUGUCUAUACACAUAUACUAGUGUGAAUACCCGUGCUACGCACGGUGCUGACAUUAUUAAAAAAAAUAAAAAUAAAAUGGUGAACAAAUAAAGGUGAAAAAAUUGUACCAACAAAAUUAAAAUGUAAUAUAUGUUUAACAAUAGUUUGAAAUAUAAUAGAAUGUGUAUAUCAUUCAAGAAUUGUCUUUUUUCGGAAGAUGGAUCCUGAAAAAAAAAAUAAAAAAUUAUAUUAAAAAAGGAAAUGAUAUAUUUCUACAAAUGAAUGUAAUUGAAUGUUGUUAAAAUGAAAUACUUACAAAUACUAAGCAUUCGAUUUGAUAAUCUUGCUUGAAGGUGCGAAUACUCUUCACACUAAUCCACUUUUAGUACGAAUGCCAAAAUUGGUGAUUUAAUUAACUUUGUUAAAUUUUGUGGAGUGCGUAUUACAAAUGAAAAUGCACGAUCUUUGCAUUUUUGUGAUAAUGACUUGUACUUCAAUUGCACUUGAAAAUUUUUAGUCCAAUGAGACUACUGAAAAUUUCCCGUUACUGAACCUCCCCAUCCCACGCAUCCGAUUAUGAGCACCGAGGCGAGGAGACGGUAGAGUAACUCACUUUUUCCCAACUUCCAGCAAGUACCCCACCAGCGCCAACCACACAUAUUUGCAAUCACAACCCCUCCCCCCCCCCCCCAAAACCCCACAAAACCAAGCACCACUUAUUGAAAACAAACCAAUAAAUGCACUAAAAUGCCUCCCAUCUAUACCUCAAAUUGCAUUUUAACCCACGAAUUUUUAUUUUAGGUACUUUGACCGCUUAUUGUUAUUUUUUUGUGCGAAAUUAUCCCUCUAAUUGCUUUUGUCUUUUUCGAUUUUUUCACAUGUCGCUAACUGCUUCAUUCCCUCUGCUAUCACUUGUAUAUUUAAAAUCAAUUUUUAAUAUUAAUAAAAAGGAAUCCAUUAGUUUAUAAUAUGUUCAUAAUGUAGAUAAAUUAUUAAAUUUGGAAAAAGGGCGUAUGUUCUUAUAGGCUUCUUUUCUUUUCUUUUUUGGGGGAAAAUGAGUUUGUUCUUGUAGGUUUUUUUUUUUUUGGAUAUAGAAUUGUUUUUCAAAGAUUUUGGUUCUUAGCCCCUACUAUGUUUAAACCAUCUUUUAAUAUCCAAUUCAAUAUAGUCUUUUAAUUUGGCAGCCUCUAUAAUUUUUAAUUUAUUCUUUUGGUUUAAGUUCAGUUAGAAUUCAGAAUUUUUCAAAACACCAAGAGAAAUCAUAUUUUUUUUUAGACACCGUCUUCAAUUCCCCAUCUAAUGACCCUUGUGGAUUUACUGAUUAUGAAUAGGAUAGAUGAUGUGGUUAUUAGAAUUUAAAAGCUACGGCCAUAGUGUUCCUAUUCCGUUUUUCUUUAUUUCUUUUCGAUCAAGGUAAUCUCUAAUCCUUCCAAGUGAAGUUUAAAUAUGAUUGAAAAAACAGGGCCUUCAAGUACAUUGCCAAGUAGCUUUAAUGAAAGAGGCUAUUGCAAGCCUAAAAAUUGAGAUUCCAGAAGAUCACGUUGGUUAAUUAUUAGAGGUUUAACAGGCCCUACUCUGAUGGUUCGAGUUUGUGUCUUAUCUUGAACAAUAAGUGCAACUAAACUUUACAAUUUUGUUCUUCACACACAUCGUUUCCACUUUCCAUUUUCGCUGAAUUGCUACUAUUUGAGUAGCAACAGCAUGGUCGAUGCAUAAAUCAUGUCUUUAAUGGGUCUUUUGGAGCAUGUGCUUGUGAUUUUGUGUUUAUACUUUAUCCCACUGUUAAGUAUCUUUGCUUUACGAUGUAACAAUAAGCAAACGACCGUUCAUAGGAUUUUGUAAAAAAAUUUCAAAAAUAAUGGAUGAUCAGAAAAUCAAUGCAAUAUCAUUCAUGACAAAAAGCAAAUCAAAAGCAAAACAUACUUAAAAGGCAGAGGGGCAGAGGGGACUGACCUGGAAAAUUAAGCUGGCAAGAAUAUACUUCCAGUUCUCCACAAGAAAGUUGAUUUCCGCUGAAGUCUCUGCACAUAAUCUCUUCCAUAACUGCUCACAAAAGAAACAAAAUCAAUACAUUUACAAAAUCAAUAGAGAACCAAAAACAAAUAAGAAACUGAGAGAGAGGGUGGGGGAAUUAGGGGUGGAAUUCUUUGGAGGAGUUUUAAUUGGGGUGAAAUUCUUAAAUUGGAAGACUCUUAAUUGGAGUGGACUCUUAAUUGGAGUGGGAAACGUGGGAGGAAAUGUAGGCGAAAACGUGGAAUGAUGAUUAGAGGAUUUGUAGGAGUGGUUGUAGGAUGAGUUAAGAGAUAGUUGGAGUGGACUCUUAAUUGGAGUGGGAAACAUGGGAGUAAAUGUAGGGAGAAACGUGGGAUGAUGAUUAGAGGAUUUGUAGGAGUGGUUGUAGGAUGAGUUAAGAGAUAGUGGGAAUAUUUUAAAUUUAAAUUUGAUUGGUGAUAAGGUGGGUUAUGACCCAUUACUUUUUAUGUAUUAAAAUAAAUACAAAAAUCUAGAAAAAAGAAUGAGAAGUUUAGAAGCCAUUGAAAGGGUUUCUGCUAAAAACCCCUUCUUGAAUACAUAUAGAUAUAGAUAUAGAUAUAUAUAUAUAUAUAGCAAAAAAUGUUAAAAAGGGUGCUUAUGUUGCAUAAUUAGUAAAAUACGAGAUGAGUAUAAUAUGAGAUAUUAUACAUGUGCAUAUUAUACGAAUAUAAAACUAUGUGUUCGACAAAAUCAUGCAUAUAAAUUCAUUGGUGAAUAGCAUGAACAUAUUCAAAAGUAACAAAACUAAAAAUACAAAUAAGUUUAUUAUACUUUUUAAAGACUAUGCUCUAUUUAUGCAAAUUUUAAACAUUUUUUUUUGUAUGAAAUGUUAAAUUUAUUAAAAUUUCAUCAUGUUAUUAAUUAAAUAUGCAUAAAUCUAUGGUUAUUAUGAAAUGUAAUGUUCUUAUUUUGUAUGUAACUCAAAAUUAUGUCAUUAUCCUUAUUCAAAAUUUAAAAUUUUUUCAAACAUUUAAAUAAAACUUGUGAAGUAUAAUACAUUCAAAGUAUAUUACCUGUUUUAUACAAUUAAUUGAAAAGUAAGAAUAUUUUUCAAGAUAUUAUUAAAAUGUACAAAAUACAAAAGUAUAUUGCAUGUUUUAUACGAUUAAUGAAAAGUAAGAAUAUUUUUCAAAAUAUUAUUAAAAUGUACGAAAUACAAAAAAGUAAUUGAAUGCUUUUUAACAGUUUUGUCGGCAUCCAAGUAGUCCAAAUCAAGCUACAUACGUUUCCGCUCCCAUCGUCUCUUAAUAUACUAGUCACCUGUUUGCCCGAAUAAUAUGUGAAAUUAAAAUGUAUUUGUCUUACUCCCCACUAACGUGUCUGUAUCAAUACUACUAGUCACCAGUGUAUCGAGGCUAUGAAUUUCUGACGGGGUGGUGUAAGUUUUUUAUACACAAUAAGUUUAACAAAGAAAACAAAAAGAAUAGUAAGUAAAAAAAAAAAAAAAAUUAAGUCCUGCAUCUAGAAGUCAUGAAAGAGCAUCAGCGCAUCAUCAAGAUUCAUCAAGGACGAUUCGUAAAUAAUGCUGACUUUCUUUAAGCGCAUGUAUCUUUUGCGCAAUUCCUCUACCUCUCCGACCUUGUCUUUAGGCAUCUGAAGAAUCUGGCAAAGGUUAUAGAAAUGAUCAGACACCAGAUCAAAAAGACACCUCCAGAACUAUUUAUUUGCAAAAGAUUUUAUCGCCCAGAAGGAUUUCUUCAGAUCACCAGCAUGAAAUCCCUCCGAAGCUUUCAGUUUAACAUUCAAGUAGAGGUUCAAAUGCACGGAUUCAGUCACAAACCUCUUUUUCUUGGUCCAGCUCGUGUGCAAUACGAAGUCUCAGGUUUAAAGCAGCGUGGUACAUUUCAUCUAAAACAUGUUGGCAAAGAGACUGCCUAUUAACUUUCCACAACAAGAAAUGUGUCUGCCUAGCUCCAUUCACAGUAACUUUCUGAAAUGAAAAACCACAAUGUGUUGCAUGAAUUAGAAGAUGCAACAAGUAAAUAACCAUGAUUGAAGCUGCAUCAAACUGGAAUAGCUGCAAGGAUUUUUUAUGGAAAACAAUAAUUCCAAUGCCCAUGGUUUUGGACAAUUACUAAUACAAUAAUUCCAAUGCAUAUUGGGUACCAUUUGUAAGAGGAAAGCAGCAGAAAAUUCUUUAGGGACCUUUCCGUUGUCAAUCAAUUGAUCCUUUUAGUAUUCAAUAUUCAAGCUCUAAAAGCAACAAAGUCAAUAAGUCAAAAGCCAAUUCACCCAAUUGCCCAUGAAGGCGAAUCCAGCUUUAAAAUGCCAAAUUUUCAACUAAAAACUUGCUAGAUCUCAUACAUGGUGCACCCGCAACUUUUAUGGUACGAUAGAAGAAUCAAAACUUUGUGCACUACAGUCACUUAGAAAUUAAGACCUUUUUGAGGGCCCCAGAAAAUCUAUGAUCUUGAAAGAAAUGCUAUAUAAACUUCUGAAAGUUCAAUGUCUCCUUCCAAAAUCUCAUAAUUUCUUUAUUCUCUUCAAGUUUGGGAGAAAUACAAGAAAUCUCACCAUUCAAACAAGGAAUACCGAGUGUAUACUCAUUAUCAACGGGAAGAAACAGCCUUGUGCUGAAUUAAAUAUUACAUACAGCCAUCCUCUAUGACUAGCAGUGUAUCACUUCCAUAAUAUUUACUGUGAUAACCACUUCCCAUCAUUUUGAGUACCCGCUACCCACAUAUUGAGAUCUCUGAUAGAUGACAAUAUUACAUUUGGCUACCUUCAGUCCAUUAUUCGCAAUGGCAUACAUUACCCCCAAAAUGUUUCAGGAAAAAAGAAAAUGAGAUAAGUAUAGUUGAUAUUAAGUACCUCCAUCUGCAAGUAGUCAUCUUUCCACAACUUAUAAAGAAUCUUGAUAGCAUCUUUCUUCUCAACAAACGUGGUAUCUGCAAUCUAUAUAACAAAACAACAAAAAAACUUAAUAUAUCCAAUGAAAUUAAAUUUGGGAUGGAUUAUUUUCCCUCUUCUGACAUGUUAAUUCUCAUUCUAACUCCAUGGUGCUCUAGCAAUCUAGAGAAUGCAGCACCAAGAUCCAGAGAGUUGACUGACUGAAAUAAAAAAAUUUUGUGGUUAUAUUGGAAUGUAGACCACAUCAAAGGAUCAUUUUUACCGAUAGUCAUCAACAUCAAUAAAACAACAACUUGUGCAAACAUUCUUCAGACUGUUUUGGUACAUCUGUUUCGGCACAUCUAGAAAGACUAAUUGUAUGACCUCUAUCUUGAAUAUCACAAGUUAAUAGAAACAACAACGUUUUCAUCGAUACUCAGAUAUUAAGUUUAGAAAAAGAAGGGGGAGAAGGGACUCUAUACAUGAAACCAAUUGAACUAUGUCGUUAUGCAUUCAGGUAGCUAUACAGCAACCAGAUCCUAAAAUAUGGCAGGGCUGAAUUUCAAACCCCCAACCAUGCAUUCAUGAACUUUUAUCUUUUAGAAACCUCUAAAGCUAAGAUCAUUUAACAGGUCAUAUUAUGUCCACAUAGAUACCUUAUCAGUCUCAUGAAGGCGGCCAGACUUCGAAAGGAACCUGAACAUCCUAUAGGCUUCUCUUCCAUAUCGUUUCAAUACAAUAGAUUCCACCUACAGCACACAAAACACAAUUAAGUAUAACUAGAGCACUUUAAUACUAUGAAGACCAAAAAAAGAACGGAGUAAAUUACGGAUAAAGCACCUCUUCAUUCUGAGCCAUGUCAAUUAUGCUCUUCAAAUCUGUUAAGCAAAAUAUGAAUUUAGCAGUACAUAAAACUAAAUCUGUAUAUCUUUCCGGGAGUAUGACUUUCACUAUACACAUAAAUCUCAAUCUCCCCAUGGCAUUCAUAAAAAAUCACAUGGACUUUCAUUGCCAAUUCUACUUCUUGUCAAAACUAACAGACUAAUAGAAAUAGCGUACCAAUGCUAUAUUCUUCAACUAGCAUGGGCAUUUCACAACCCAGUUCAACUAGUGAAGCUCUUAUACGUUCCAAGUUCAUGCCAAGACCCCCUUUCUUCUUUAUCACCUCAUCAUAAAUAUCAUUUAUUGACACAGAAGCUGCAAAUAAAGAUUAAAAAUAAGUCACCUGAGGAAGUGGGUAACACCAUAGAAUAAUGAAAUAAUUGUAGAGAACAAGAAGUUCAGAAACCCCAAGUUUGACAACAUGGAAAACACUCAAACGCCAUAAAAUUAUGUCUCAGGCACAUUGACGACAAUACAAAAGCUCAAGCAUCAUAAAUUUAAAGCUCUUAAACUCAUCAAACUAAAAAAGAUGUUUAAAGCAAUGGACAAAUAUAGAUAAGUCGUCACCUGUGCUUCCAAUGUUCACUUUACUCUCUGAACUUCUAGUUAACUCCAGAAUUGCACCAAGGAUAAUGCCACAUUCAUCAUUAAGCCGAGAUUUUGCAUUGGCAAUGCAAGCCUACACCAAAUACAGAAAAUAUAAUACAUAAAUUUGGACCGAGAAAAGGAACAACGCUUCAGAAAUCUAGAAUAGUAAAUCUGGCACAUCCUUCAAAUCUUCAGCAGGGUUUCUAACCAAUAGACUAUUCAUAUAAAAAAAAAAGAUGUGUCUGAACCAUUUCCAGCAUCCUGAUCAUUUAAACACACAACAAUAAGAUCUGACCUAAUGAGCAAUUUAAUGAGCUGAUGUACGUGCAAAGGAAAAGUUCUCAACCUGAUGCCUCAAACGUCGUAUAAGUUCUUCAAAAUUGACACGCCAAAGGACUUCUUUCUUUUCGUCUUGAUCCAGCAGGCCGCCAUCUGUCUCUAGAAAAUCUUGCUUCCUCUAAGAUUUAGAAAAUAAAAGGUCAGCAAGUGGUGAAACAGGGUAUGCAAGGGAAAACUACUAUACUGACCUUCUCCCCAGUUUUCACAGAGGUAAACUUUUCCUCACUGCUUUUGUCAGAAAAAUCACUCCAAUUGAGUGUUUCAGCUAAAAAUCUUAGUGACUCCAUCGGAGCUGCUGCUGCCAAAGCACGUUGCUCAAUGCUCUCAGAUACAUCACCAACCUGUAUUUAUUUAAGAGAUUCAUUAACCAGAGUAACAAGGAGAAAUUGGAACUCCUGCAAACAUAUUAAACUUCAUGAUAUACUGUUUCUUAAUGCAAGCCCAGUUAGAUAUACAAAUUCACAUGUGAACUAAUGAGAUAGAAUAUCUCUGCAGCAGCUAAACUACCCGUCCUUUUCUUUUUUACUUUCUGGGAAAGAGCUAUUAACAUUAGCAGAAAGCUCAGAGGUAGAUAAGCAACUCUACUAUCUUAAGAGUUCAAAAUGAGGGACAAACAAAUGAAAAAGUAAAACAAACAUCAAGACCUUCAACCUUGCUGUAUUGGUUCAAAUACAAAGUAAAAAGUAUUAUAAAUGAAACACAAGGUUGAAAGGUGAACAUGACUACCUUCGUGGACUUGGCACCUCGCUUCUUAGCAGGAGUUUCUUCGUCGGAGGGUGGAGCAAGAAAUGGUUCAGGAGCAGGGCACCGCUCCACAAAUCGGCCAUUGACAAGUUUAUUAAAGCUUUCUUUUACAUGGUCCACAUCAAAAUUUUCUGGAGAACAAUUAAAAAAAUAAAGAAUAAAAUAACAAAGAAAUGAAAACCACAUAACAACAACAACACAAAAAAGGAAAAAAACACAUAGGAAGUAAUAAAAAAAUGAUAAAUUUUAGUACACAUCCAGUCCAGGGUUGCUCUUUCUUUCUUUUUUUUUUUGAAGGAUUGCUCAUGUUGUAAGAGUUCAAAAAUGUAAUUCAUAUAUUUUUUGAAGGAUAUCAAUAGCAGAACUUUUAAUAGGGUAAUUACGAGUUUAAAACGUUUUCUGGAUGAUUAGGUUCAGCUUCCCCUCUACAUACUGCUUCAAACAUACAAGUUAUAAACUCAGUGAUAGGGCAUUGUGGUCGAUGCAAAAGUUAUAUAAUCUUCCCUUAUGUCCUCCUAAUUGAUAUUCGUCUCCAAAUCCUACACCAACUACUUGCAGGCACAAUUCCAACAACGAGUAAGCAAUUGCACGAGAACCUUCUACUUAAGAAAGAAGAAGCGCAAAUUUGUUGUUCCCUUAGCAUGCAACAAAGAAAUGAACAACAUAAAGCCAAUAAGGUCAAUGUAAACAAUAUACUCAAGGGAAAUGAUAAAAGUUUGCAGAAAGACAGUUUCAUUACCUUCUUUACUCACAGUCUGCUUCUCUCUGUCAACAAUUUGAUUGAAAGAUAGUCUACCAUGUUGAAGUAAAGCUUCAAAAACCUUUUCACACUGUCAAAGCCCAAAAAACAACUCAUCAAAUACGCCCAAAUUCACUCCGAGGACAAAUAAAUCUAAACACAAAAAUAAAUGAAAUAGCUAAACAUAAAAUUGGUACUAACUUCUCCACCAAGCUCAUCUUUUACAAUUGCAAUGAACUUUGGAAACCUCAUGUGGUGGAUUAUGUUGUCAAAUAAAGCCAUGUAGUGGGUUACAACCUUUGGAGCCUCUCCGAAAGCACCUAAAUUCAUUUCAUUAAAAACAGAAGAUUGAAAUUCUCGAAAUUCGAGUUUUAAAACUAUUAACUUCACAGGAAAUUAAAAAGAAGCAACCUAGGAUUUAUAUAAGAGUUCAACCUUCUUGUUGGAUUGAGAAGGCUUGAACGCAGUUUUGAUGGAUCAAGGCUAGUAAACAAUGCCUCACAAUCUCUCGACUGAGUUCGGUGAACCGUAUAAUUUGCGCUAAGGUUAGGGUUCCCCUCCGGAGAAGACAUUCACAAACUUUCUGCCAUAUUAGAAUACCAACAUUAAUUGUCGUAAUCGGGGAAAAAGAACCAGAAGUUUAAUACUACAAAGCGCUACUUCAAGUCAGCAAGAAAGGUGUUCUGUAUUACAGAAUUAUGAUCUCCGUAGAAAGAGGAUACAAGAUAAACGGCAAGUUUGAUGCCGUGCUGCGACACCAUCUCGGCGGCUCUUCGGCCUACUACCUACUCCUCUUUGUUUGCCGCAGGGUAAGUGAAAGAGGCAGCGGUGGGAUUGGCGGAGCAGCCGAAGAUUGAAUUGCGCAAGCAUCCAAGACAACUGGGGUCCAUAGCUCAGUGGUAGAGCUUUUGACUGCAGAUCAAGAGGUCACCGGUUCGAACCCGGUUGGGCCCUUUUUGACUGUUUUUUAAUCAGUUUUUCCGUCACUCCUUAGAUAAUUUGUUGUGCAUUUCGACCGCAGGGGUCCAUAGCUCAGUGGUAGAGCAUUUGACUGCAGAUCAAGAGGUCACCGGUUGGGCCCUUUUUGGCCUUUUUAUAUCAGUUUUUCCGUCACUCCUUAGAGAUAAUUUUUUGUGCCUUUGGACAGCAGGGGUCCAUAGCUCAGUGGUAGAGCAUUUGACUGCAGAUCAAGAGGUCACCGGUUCGAACCCGGUUGGGCCCUUUUUGGCUGUUUAACAUAGAGAUUUUCGGUCACUCCCUAGACACAGUAAUAUGUCGUGCAUUUUGAUCCAAGUACCGGUGGUGGAUAGGCCUGUCAACCCGACCCGAGCUCGCUAAAUUUUUCUGCCAAUGGUAUGAAUAUAUAAUUUCAUUUACUCGACUCGAAUCCAUUUUUCUUAAUAAAAAAUGGGUUUAAUACAAAAUAUUGCAUUUUUUACUUGUAUUCAAUACGGAUCCAUUUAAAUAAAUUGAUAAUUAUAUAAUAUAUACUUAUUAAUACAAUACUACUUAUUAUACAAUAAAUUAAGAAUUAUAAAAACAUAUAUAUUUAUUAUAAAAUUUGAUUCGUAUUCGAUCUGACCUGUUGGAUUCGAAUUUGGAAGAUCAAGUAGAAGAUCCAUUGAGUAUACAGGUCGAAUCCGGAACAUACAUAUUAAAACAUAUUCGGGUUCAAAAUGUUCAAUUGCAGCCUAUACUCGAUCAGUUGACAGGUCUAGUGAUGAUGCCAAAAAAAAUUUCUCAAUGGGGAACAAAGACAUUGCUAGAAUAUCUUGCUUGUUAUUUUCCUCGAUCUUUUUUUUUAUUUAAAAAAAAGGAUAUAUCAAUAUUCACAUAACCAAUAGAAACAAUACAUCUACGUUAUGAUCAACAUAAAAAGGCAUACUCAAAAUUAUGCAUAAAACUAUUACGGUUUGAAAAAUCAUGCAAAGACAUUUAUAAUUGCUCACGAUGAAUAUUUAUGUUUCAUAACUAUUUUCAAUUCCACAAAGUAUAUUUGUCUAACAUUUUAAAUAAAAUCAAUGACAAAUUGUACAAAGUUUGAAGGGAACUAAAUGAGUGAUAAAUAUAACAAAUGAAUCACAUGCGAUAAAAAAAAUUCCAAAUGAACUAAACAGCUGGACUCUGUCAUUAAAAGCAUUUUUGGUUAUUUAGUAUCCAUUUCAUUCCUAAUCAUUUUAGUGGGGCCAAACAUAAAAUUUUAUUUAAUCAACAUGGGUGAUAAGGAAAAUUCUGGGGAUUGUAAGAGCCCGUGUCCCAAGUACCGUCUCUUUUCAUCCUCUACUGCUUCUUGCACUCGAAAACUAACAUGCACUGAGAAAUCAUAUUGCACUAAAUUGCACGCCAUCGCAAAAGGAUACCUAAUUUUGUAUUAGUUCAAUAGUAAUUGAGUUAUCGGGGAAAAAUAAAAGAAGAUUGUAUGUAAGAUCUUAUUUGAUAAUUCAAUUCAAUAUUUAAAUUUAAUAAAUUUAGAUUUUAAUAUGUUUAGAUGCAUUUGAUAAGCUAUAUGUCCCGGAUAGCGGUGUCAACAAGUCAGGUUCGGAUCGGAAUAUAAAAAUUUCGGAUCGGACACAUUUUUAUGCAGUAGAUCAGGACCUGAUCCGUAUACCUAACAGAUAUUGACCUUAGAGUUUCGGAAUUGAGUCCGACGGGUCCGAGUCUAUCCAAAAAGAAAAAGGUCCAAAAGUUAAACAUUUAAAAAUUAAAUCCAAAAUCAAUCAUGAAUCCAAUCUCCAAACUUAAACAAAUCAUAUUACAAAAUUAAAUCACAAAUAACUCGCAAUAGUCAAUUCAAAACUGAUCACAAAUCAAUCAACAAAAUUAUUAAUUUGAUAAAAGAAUGUAUUUAGAAAUAUAUAUUUAUUUUAUAAAUAUUAAUAUAUUAUUCGGCUUCGGAUCGGAUACGAGUCAGAAUCUUAUAUUCUGUAUCCGACCCCUUUUUUUGUUAGAGUGAACGGAUCCGGAUCCAGGUCCAGGUAACGGAUUUAAUUUUCAACCCAAAGCCAAAAAAUUUUAUUAGAUCCAGAUCCAGACCCGACCCGUUGACCUAAACCCGGAUGCGAACUAAAAAUUCUCCACUGAUAGAUAGUAAGCAGAGAGACACUUGAAAAAUUGUCCAAGUAGAAACUAAUUAUAUAAUUUCGAACUUCUCUUUUAUUGGCUAGAAGAGGAAAAACCAAGAAGUUUUUGUUAUGCCAGAGACAUGAAUAAAGAAAGUUCUUUUAUAUCUGGAGGGCACGUUAUAAGAACUAGGCAUGUUUAAAUUUUCCGUAAAAAUUUAAAUCUCAGCGUUAAUAUAUCCUCAAUUCGUGGGUAAGCUACACUUUAUUAUAGGCCUACCCUUUUGUUUUUGAGUAUUUAUCUUGUACAGUUUUCGCAGCUGGCAAAAAUUACCAUGAAGUUCCUUCCUAUUCAGAAGUUUUUCCACGCUUGUACUUGGACCUUUAUAAAAGAAAAAAGAAAAGAAAGAACAAAGGCAUGCACAAUCUCGUAACAAUUCUAUGGAGUAAUGGAACCCAAAUUUUUUGGCAAGUUUAUCAGCUAUAAAUUUUUUAAAAACUUUAACUACAGUAAUCUAAAAAAACGUUUCAAAAAUUUUAAACUAUACAUUUCAAAAUAUUCAAAAAUUUACACACUUCAAAAAUUUUUUUAAAAAACUUCUACAGUGCGCUACAAUAAAGUUUCAGACAAAUUUUCAAAAAAACUCACAUUUCAAACGGGGCCAUUGUUGUAACGGACUCUCUUCUUUUAUUUAUUUAUUUAUUUUGUCGAACGCAGACAAUCUACUUUACUCAACUGGACUCGUUACAAUUCUGUGGACUAUGCAACGGACUCGUUACAAUCUACUUUACUCAACUGAACUUGUACGACGAGACAAGAGGUUUCUAUACUAAACAAAUAUACUACUGCACUCUUUAGUUACUUUUUAAAUUUUUCGAUGAAAGAAGCACUACAUUUUCUUUUAAUCUACUAGAUUGGAUUUGAAACCCUCACAUACGGCUCUCCCUUUCUUUUCUUUUUUUUUUCGCCCCUUUGUUUGGUAGGAAAAAGACCGUAAUAUAAUUAAACCACGUCAGUUACAAUCAUUCGAGUAUAGCAUCAAGUUUUCCUCCAAAAAAAAAAAAUAAAAAAAAGAAGAAGGUACAGGAUCAUAUAGUUGGUCGUGGUAAUGGGCAUCUCGCUUUUAGAGAAUACAACAGAUCCUGCAGCUCAGUAAGCACGUGAAAGGUGUAAGUGACUGAAAAGUAGUACGUGUAGCAAUCAAUUCUAUCCUGGAUUCAGGCCGUUGAUUUUAGGAGUCCCGGCAAAAGCAGGCAGAGAUUUCACGACAUCAAUAACCAACGUUUCGAAUUUUGGUUGGUCGGGGGGAUGAAGAAUGUUCGUACUGUUAAAUUAAAACAAGAUCUAUGGACAAAAGCCAAAAGGACUGCUCUUUGUGGCUUCUGACCUAACAAAUAUUUCAGCCCCGCCCUGCCCCGCAAAUAACGGAAGAUAAACUGACCCCAUUCCUACAGCCUACAGGCUUGAAAAUUUCCAGAAUGUUAGGCGCCUUACACUCGAUCAAGUAAUAAUUAAAUGGUCCAUCGGUAGCCUCCUCCCACAGAGACCGAGAGGUCCCGAGUUCGAGCCUCAACUCUGCUGAAUUUUUCCUCGUACUUAACAUGCUAGGAUCGGAUUGGGGCGCUAGGCCCAGACCGCAGGGGAUUAGUCGGACCUCGUAAGGAUUGACCCGCACACCCCUGUGUCGAAAAAAAAAAAGAGAAAGAAGUAGUAAUAAUUAACCAAGAUCCCAAAGUAUCCAAUUUCUUCCGUCGAGGACCUGCCGGUCUUAAAUCAUACCAACUCUUAACAUAAUUGGUAUUACUUAUCAUUUACCCGACGAUCUUGGAAUUCUGGCCGUCCCGUCAUUGUUGACCGUUCUAGACCAAAUCAACUCAUUUUGCAGUCAAAUCUUCAAAUUAAAAAGUUUUCUUUUCCUCUUCAAAAUUGAAAAUGUACUCGUGGAUUUGGCUUCUAAGAAUGCUCUCUCUUUAUUCAUUCGUCCAUCUUUUUUGUUAUCACUAACUAAACACAAACUUCUUGAUGAAUGCUCUCUCUUUAUUCAUUUGCCCAUUUGUAUCUUGAUGUACGAGUCAUUCAUAUGAAAAUAAUGAGCGAGGUUGAUGGGAAAAUAUUUAUCUCGAUGAAUGAGAGUCAUUUAUACAAAAAUAAUGAAUGAGGUUGAUGGGAAAAUAUGUCCCCAACGUUACUUAGUCUAUCGAAAAGAUGCAAUUACUUAACGUGUUCGGGCCGAGUUGGGGCGUCGGGUCCGGAUCGCAAGAGAUUAAUCGGGUCUCGUAAGAAUUGAUCCGGACAUCCCUGUGUCGAAAAAAAAAAAAAAGAAGAAGAUGCAAUUACAUACGAUGUGUCAAAGGUACAUAAUGAUCCAUUUAAAUUUUAGUAAAAUACAAGACAAUGGUAUCUCAAUUAUUACUUGAAUUAUUAAGGAUUACCAUCUUCAUGUGAAAAUUCACAUGUUUGGAAGUAUGACCGCUAAUUAAGGAUACUCACUCCAUCCUCCAUUAUAGUGAAGAGAUCGUAAUAAUCCCUUGCCACAACUAACUUAGUCCCCGACCACGGCAAUUGAUUAUAGCAGCAUCUUAUUGAAUGAGGGACGUGUGGCGUAUCCCCGUUGGUAACCAGAAACGUGGCAAAUUGGUCUCCAUGCCUGAGUCGGGCCAUGCCAAAGUCAUCCUGAUUCGGGGAAUAAGGGUUUUCAUUUCAAGAACUCGAAUGCUGUCCUCCCAACGUAUCAGCCGGAGCUUACGGAAAAUAGGAGAGAGUCCGCAAAAAUUUUCAAUUUUGGUCUCCGGUUUUGAAUUCUAGUCACAUGUAUCAUCAUCAUCAUCAAACUAAAGGUCAAAACUCCCUUUUCUUGGUGUGUCAUCCUAUUCUGCGAUUUCCACAAUAAGUAGGCAAGGCCGCCCCCCCCCCCCCCCGGAUCUGAUCUGGCAGGCUAGAUCAGUGGGUAGUUAUUGAGCACGCCGGGCGGGUAGAGUACGCCAUUAAUGGCGGUGUCUAUUAACCCGUUAACUGCCAACCGUAGUCUAUUCUCAACGGGGACAGUCGACUAAAGUCAUGAGCACUAUUCUUCCGGGUCCCGCAGCAUUUUCCUUUCAACGAUUUCUGAAAGCAGAGUCGAGUCUUGUACUUUUCACAAGAAGUGGUGUGAACUCAACUCAACUGCUCAAUGCUUGACCGCAUUCAGUUAAAAAAAAGAACUCAAAAACAGAGAUCAGUAUUGGGUUACAAUCUAAACCCCUAUAAAUAACCGAAGAAUCUCUUCACCAGUCCUCACCACAACAACAAUAUUUGAAGCCACCCCUCCUUCCAUUUCUCUACCUAAUAACUUCGCAAGUUAUUGCCAUGGCUCCAAGCAGUAGCAGCCUGAUUGUUUUCGCCUUCAUUGCUCUUGCAUGCGCCCUCUGCGUGCAAAGCACUAGUGGUCAGUUCAUCUCCUGGAAUAUACAAUGAUAUUCACAAUCCAAACUUCGUUCGUUGCACAAUAAAUAUACUACUCCGUAUUAUAUUGUAUUUGAUAUGCAUAUGUAGUUCUUGCAUUGAUAUGGGGUAUUGCAUGCAGGAAACAUAGCUUGCGAGGACCUGAAGGAGGACUCUUGCGCCUAUGCGGUGUCAUCGUCGGGAAAGCGCUGCGUGCUGGAGAAGCAUGUCCGCAGAAGCGGGGAGGAAAAGUACACGUGCCGCGCAUCAGAUAUCGAAGCCGAAAAACUGAAAGACUGGAUCGAAACGGACAAAUGCAUUGAAGCGUGCGGGGUUGACAGGCACGCACUUGGAAUUUCAUCUGACUCUCUUUUGGAGCCUCAGUUUACCCACAAGCUCUGCUCUUCCGCCUGCUACCGCAGCUGCCCCAAUAUUGUUGAUCUCUACUUCAACCUCGCUGCCGGUGAAGGUAAGUAAUACUUCACUGUCCAGAUCUCCUCCCUCUUCCCAUUACCCGGCCGGCCACUGAAAUCUGUGAAAAUACCAGCAUCCUGCAUUAAUUAAUGCGUCGCCAUUUGAUGAUGAUGUUUUCCAUCUACAUAAAUGUAGGUGUGUAUCUUCCGAAACUGUGUGAAGCGCAGAGGGGUCAUGGGCGCAGAGAAAUGGCGGAAAUCAAAAGCUCCGGAAUGGUGGCACCAGGACCAGAAUCGGAUGGUGGGAAGCCUGUGAGCUUCUACAUUGUUGCCCCGGCACCCCCUCCUUAUUAAUCAUGAGAUGGGAGGCACAAUAAAGAACAUGUAGUCGUAGAUGGAUAAUUAAUUACACAGCAGUGUAUACCACACCAAUAAUAGAGGGAAGUUGUUGCAUGGGUUGGAAGCUCAUCCUCUUCUCUGCGUUCUUGAGUAUUGUAAUGGUACAACGUUAAAAGCAUAAAACUAAAAGAGAGAAUAGUAGCGUAUUUUUUUUGCAUGGAGUGUACUCUUAUGAGAUGUACCGUAGUAGAUUAGAUGCAAACGUACCGUAGAUUUGGACUCCGGUUGCGUACGUUGACUAUUUUGUUCGUCGAACGAAAUAAAUAAAAAAAAAGUCAUGAUAUUUGAGUAUGGAGCAUUGCUUUGAUUUUAGAUUUCAGUCAAUCCGGGAUCCAUUAUUCUCACCAUCCAAGGGAACGCGAAACUUGGUCUCCUCUCAUGUGUUCAACGGUCAAUUAGUUUACUUCUAAUUUUACUCAAUCAAAUCAAAUCAAAUCAAAUCAUGUAAGGUGAUUCUAAAAUUUGACCCCUGAUGUCGCAUAAGAAACGUUAGACCGUCAAAAUUUGAACUCUCUUCUUUUAAAAUUAGAAUAUUUGUCAAUUUUAAUCCGAAGUACUAUUAUAAGCUUUGCUGUCAAAGCAAAGAUCGACAACUUUGUCAAAAGGACAAGGGGCACAAACGGUUGCAGGUGCAAUCGUUUCUGUCGAUUGUAUGUAUUUUUUAUUAUGCGUAACUUUGAUUGCACACCAUGUAAUUUUUUUUGCACACGACGUAAUUUUAGAACAAAUUUUUAUGAGUUUCACAUACAACGUAAAAAUCGAGUUACAAAAUAUAAUCUGAAUCGCAUAAAAUUUUUUGACCAAAUCAUGAUCGUCAGCUGCCUCAACCGUUCCUACCCCAUUUCCCAAAAUUGAGGUGCGUAUUGGCAAACCCAAAAUCGUCAGUCUCCUCCUGCAAAGCAUUUCCUCUUCUUUUGAUGCCUUAAGACCAUCGUUCUUUUUUCUCUCAGCGUUGAUUGCUCCUCCUUCACCACUAUCUUUCAGCUGUAAAAUCUUUCGACAAAAAAGGAGGUAAUUUCAUCAGCCUGUCUCCACACGCGGCAGCUGGUCCCUUCGGGGACAUCUGUCGUCUGAAUACACGGUAACUGGGGAGGAGAUGAUUUCGGCGCUAACCAUGCACCCAGUAAGACGCAGCCAUAUUAUAUUAGUAGUUUAGUACUACUUUACCAUUUGCAACACCACUGAAGAUAUCGACAUUAAAAAAAUAAAAAUAAAAGAUGAAGCACUCCAUCCUCGUUCAUUAUUGUUGAAAAUGAAAGGAAGACCUAUAACCUAGACUUUAGGAACAUUUAAAUGCCAAAAUCAAAUUACUUUUAGUGCAUUGUAAAUUAUAUUUAGAGUUUAUCUUAGUGUAUAUACUAUUAUCGUUAAAUAUAUGUUAUGUAUGCAAAAAAAAAAAAUUGAUAUUCAAAUUCAAGUUGAAAUUAAGUGACAGGUAUUCAAAGGUCAAAGUGUAUAUAUACUGUCAGCACAUAUAAGAUUAAUCUUUAUAAUUUUACAUUAUUCUUGUGAAAAACCUCGACACUUUUGACUACAAUGCCUUAAAACUUCAAAAUAUAUCCUUAUACUAUAUAAGAAUGAGUUAAGGGCAAAGAUUUCAACCGCAAGGGUGAGGUUAUUUUGGGAAUAGUAAAUGUUGUGUAUUAGCUUAAAAGCUUUAGGUGCAACUUAACAAAGCAUGUAUUUGGAUAUGUUUACUAAAAUAACCCCGUUUCAUUACAUUUAAAGUCCUCAUUGAUGAGCCAUCUGGGUAUUGAUGGAAUGUAUAAUGAGUGUACAACUGUUUUUGCACUUUGUACACCCCAUAUAUGUUUGUGUGUUGGUGUAAUUACUGGAAUACCCUUAGCAAUCAAUUAUUCCUCUAGACGGACAAGUAAACGUUGCUUCGCCGUGGGAAGAGGCGCCAUUGAAAUCCUCCGCUGUCUGAAACGUUCCACUCCUUGCCGGGCUGUUAUUGAGUGUUAAUUGUUAUGAGUGUUAUGAGUGUUAAUGGCUGCCGAACUGUUAUCCCCUUUACGAGCGCCCCACGUAAGUCCGUUUCCCCCCGUUCAGCUUCAGUCUCUCGCCGAGUCCCUUUACAAAGGCCUGCCGCAUCGUUUCCUCUUCCAGGUUUCAAUUGCUUAGUCUCGACUUCUGUUAGCUAGAUGAGAUAAUGCUGUAUGCACUUUACUCUGAAAUUACCUAUCUUGUGGCCGCGUUUCACGCCCCAAAUGCCUUACUUGCUUGUUAGGGCUGCUAAUGAUUGGAUAGGGGAGGCGUGAGAGUUCAAAUGGGGCUUACACAUUUCUUAUGCUCUCCAAUCCUGCUGUAAUUAUAUUGAUCACCCUAUUUUCCCCUUAUUAAUUACACCCCAAUUUAAUUUCCGAACCGUGGGUAUGUUAAUGCCCAGACGGUUGAUGCUCAGGUACCCCCUGUUCGCAUUCCGGGAUUGGGUUACUUCUUCGUGGCUCCAUAGUAAGCAGCUCAGAAUGUUCUUCAGCCGCAGCUAUACCUGGUGGUUCAGCUUGAGGUUAGAUUCCACCCCUCCCCCCAAUUUUCCAGUUCUACCCUUAUUUUUGUGAGUGUGUUCUUAGAACCUGCAAUUAGCAACUUUUAUUGCGUUGCCUAACUGCUGCCCUCUGUAAUUUGACUGGGUUGGCUAUGAUCUUAUAGGUUUGGAGCAACAGCAAGAAAGAGCUCUCAAUGGGGAUUUUGGCCUAAGGUUAGCUUUCAGCGUACCUCUACCUUUUAGUAUUACCACCGACCUUGAAUUUGCUACCGUUCUAAUGUUGAACUGCCUUGCUGUUUUGAAAAGGGUAGCUUUCUUGCUCCAAUGAUUAUAUCGUUUAUUGUUGAUUUGGGUGUGCAGUUUUGACUUUACUUACUGCUAAAUAUGUUCCUUAUUUUAUUUUAUAUUGUAUGAGAAUCAAAUUGUUAUGUUGUAUUCCAAUCCCGACAUUGCUAUGCAGUUAAUGGCAACUUAAUCUAUAUUGAGAAGAAGCUAUAUGGGGCUUGCAUACACUAAUUUGUGAAAUGCAAGUUCGUCAGAGUCUAUAUGUAGAGAAUGCUUGCUAAACCUGUUAAUUAACUCCGAAAUCUCAAUCCUUACUUCAGUUUCCCUCUUAUUCUUGUAAUCUCCAAAUUUAGCCGCAAUUUCUCUGCUGUUACACCUGCACCAGUCCUCUCCCAAUCUUAAUGCAGAAUUGAAGCCUUUAAAUUGGCCUCAAAGUUGCCUUUUCUUACAUCCUGCCUCAUAUUUAUCUCACCCUUGCAAUCUCCAAUUCAGCCAACACUGCUGUGCAAUCACACUUGCACCCGUCCUCUCCUGAUGUUAAUGCAGAAUUAAGGCCUUUUACUUGGCCUCAAGGUUGCCUUUUCUUGGCCUCUGCAUAAGUAAUAUGAACCUUUUUACUAGGUUUAUACAAUUAAGUCAGCAACCAAUAGGAACUUUUGUGAACAAAUUCAGAUAAUCCUUUACGAGCUCUGAUCAUCAUUCAACAUUCACACUGCAAAGAUCAAAGAUUUAUUAAGUCUCAUCUAGGCUUCGGCUCUUUAACUCGAGCUCCAAACUAAUAAAGCCUAUGCUUUCUGGAAAAUUUAUAGAAGAAAGCAGACCUAAUAAGUAGACAGGUAGCUAGGAAUUUAGCCAACGAGGUGCCUGUACAGUUUGAGAUUAUACAUAGGGCAGGGGAUAUAGAAGUUUCAGCUUAUAACAGCCACUGGUCUAGCUUCUCCAACAGCCACGGGUCUGAUUUCACCACCUCCUUCCCCUGUCAACCAUGCAUGCAUGGAUGCCCUGAAAUAACAGAUCAGAGGAUCAAAAUUACAGUUAAUUUAUACCGAAAGUUAAUAAUAUAUGGAAUUUCUAGACCAUAAAUUAAUCCUUGCAUUUCGAAGAUAUCAAGAUAAGGAGUAAGAAGUGACAAAGUAAUUUAAGUUGAUCUAAAAGGUCUGUUAAGUUCAUUUCUGGAACUCAGAAAUCCACUCCCGGAAUGUUUAAACUCAUACUAACCCUCCAUAAUGUUAUACGUCUCUCUUUUCCUCUGCUUAAAAGGACAACAAAUUAUGCAUAGAUUUUUGUGCAAAAAUAGUAACUGUUGUUAAUAGAAAAAGUCAGCGUCAAGAUCCUUAUUCAAGGAACAGAAGAGAUGAUCACCAUUGUGUGUACAGACUACAGCAUCAAUCUUUCAAUAGGAAUUUUUUUAAUACUUGGGUUUAUACUCAUUUUCUCAGCAUCAAUCUUUAAAUGAUGAGUGUAUGACAAUGGUAUUUUUUUUAAUAUAAAAUUUUAGAAACUUGAAAAUAGUAUGGAAAAUGAUUGAUGAUAUUUUCAAAAAAUAACCAUGGUUCCCUGCAAAACUAACCACAGUUACGAAUUAAAUAUUGGAAGUGACCUCAGAUAAGGAAUCUUAAAGAAAUAGUUAUGCUAAGAAAGGGGAAAAUUAAGCAUUUAAUUGGAAAGGCUAAUAGCUCUUUUAUUUUCUUUCAUUUUUUCCCUAUUUCUUUUGAUUUCUGUUUGUAUUUCUUAAAUAUUGGAAGUGACCUCAGAUAAAGAAUCUUAAAGAAAUAGUUAUGCUAAGAAAGGGGAAAAUUAAGCAUUUAAUUGGAAAGGCUAAUAGCUCUUUUUUUAUUUUCUUUCAUUUUUUUUCUAUUACUUUUGAUUUCUGUUUGUAUUUGCUAAAAAGACAACAUAUACAUAAGGACAAAACUUAUGAAAAAUAGAAAAAUUGGGCAGUAAGCAUUUAUUAAUAAUCCGGAGAGUAUAGUUUAAAUUGUUCAAUUAGCUAAAUACCCAAAGCAAUCAUGACUUAAAUCGUAAAGCAAAGUUUGACUAGAAAAUAAGUAUACUAAAUUUUCAUUCAACUUAAUUCUACUCAUACGAGUUAGUGCUAUAAGAUUUUUGUUUUUGACAAUUCAAUUUUGAUAACAAAUAUGUUAAUUAUAUUGUUUUAUGUAAGAGAAAAACAUUUUAAUUUUAGUUGUAGAUGAUUAGAAAAUGGCCAUGAAAAUAUAAUUUUGCUGAUGAAAAUAGUAAAAUGACGACAUUAGUAUAGUUGACAUUGUUCAUAAGAUGCUAAAGUUAACACCAACUUAACUGCCACUAAAUCUGACUCUGAAGGAUCCAGCCUAUCCCACCGUCCACUUUCCUACUCACCCUUUGGUCUGGACAACAUGUACUUAAUUAUUUCUGAACUAGAGACCAAGUAAACGUAAAGGCUAUGAAGGGAAUGGAUAGGCAUAGGCCAGAUUAGAUGUCUUGACUAGAUAUGUAAUUUACUACUGAACUUGAUACAUAUCUGUUGAUUGUUAUGCUUAAACAUUCAGAAACAUGAUUUAUCCGUGUGAUCUUGUGCCUUGAUUGUUAUCUAGGAUAGCGAAUUCCUAAAUAAUAUAUGAUGGCGGACAUUUUUGUUGUUAUUAUUAAUACCUUUAUUAUAAAAGAUGUUUCACCCCCAGGAAAACCUUUAGGAUGUAUAAUUAUCGCGGUCUAAAAUGACUACACUAAGUAAAGAUAACAAGUUGGAAGAGCAAAAGCGACGGCGAAAUGAGAGAGCAAGGGCUAAAUAUGCAUCGUUGUCUGAAGAAGAAAAAGAGCGACGGCGACAAAAACGCCGAGAUGCUCCCAACCAAUUUGGACAACUCAUCUUCUACAAAGUCCAGUGAAGGAACCAGUGAUGCAGCACCUGCACAACAAAAGGACGGCACCGCCAAGAAGCAACGCAACUGAGUACCUAAGGCUGCCCAUUACGGACACCAUAACUAUAAUAAAGGCUGCAAUCUAAUACGCUUGCUAUUAAGGACACCAUCACAGUUUCGUUCAAAGGCUGUCUACUACUAUUGCUAUGACUAAAUAAGGGACUCCAUGGAGCCAGACCUACAGCAACAACUCUCUUUCUUCACUCCCAUCUUUCCUUUAUGGACUAUUACUACUGUUCAACUUCUCCUACUUUAUGGACUAUUUCUGGUUUGCAACAGUAACUGCUGCUCAUCAUUUGAUGUUUAUUUCUUCUCACAAUAUAUUAUUGUUUGUUUCACAAAGCAACUUUCUUUCCCACAGGCACCAAACACCCGCGCGAUGCGCGGGCACUCCCCCCUAGUAUAUAAAAAAAUAUUGACAGUGGUUAAAGUCGUAAAGCUCUGCCAAAAGAACAAAGAUCGAAUCCAAACAUAAUAAACAGGUCCAUACCAUAAAGGGUAGUAUUUUACUCAGAACUACUAAAUAAUCCAUACUUACACAGUAUGCAUAUAAUCAUCACUAUUAAGAAAAUUCUUUAUUGAGUAAUAUCGUUUGCCUUUUAACAGUUUACAAUGUUAAUAUUAUCAUACGUAUGUUGUGAGAGUAACGGACAUAUACAUCCGUUAACAUGUCCAUAGAAAUCCUUGUAGAUACAUGUAUCUAGUGAAAUGAGGUAGAUUUUGGGAUAGGGGUGGAGUUAGAAAAAAAUUCAGUAGGAACAAAUUUAGCAUGUUAAAUUAUAUGUUAAAUUGUCCCACUUUCAAAUUCUAAAUCCCUAGUAGAUGAUUUUGUCACUUUUCCUAUCAAAUUCAUUAUAUAUUUUCUCUUUUUUGUGAAGGUGAAAUAACAAGAAAGCAAGCAAUUUUGGUGAAUUUCGAUGUGUAGAAGAAAAAAAAACGUGGACAACUUUUCGAAUAGAUUUGUGCUUAAGAAGGAGAAUAAAAAUAAGCAUAAAAUUGACACCUUGUUGGUUGGUUAUUAUUUAACCGUGAGAGGUGAAAUGGAUUUCUUUUUUAUUUUUAAUCAAUUUAUUUGGCGUGGACAAAGUGAUAAAAAAAAAAGAAUAACAUUAAUUAAAUAUCUUUAAAAAAAAAAAGGAACUACAAUAUUCUCUAACUACUGGGGCCGGGCAAAAAUUGAUAGGUCAGUAGGGGCAAUUGCUGUCAUAUAAUAAAGGAUAGUACCAAGAUAAACCUACUUUUAUAAAUUUCUGAUGGGAAUUGAAAAUUUUUUUUAAAAAAAUUAUGUCACAUACAUCAUAUUUUAAAAGUAUCAUAAUAAUUUUUAAAUUUUUUUUUUUAUAAAAUACAAUCUAAAUGGAGUCAACGUAUCCAAUUUUUUUUUGUUUCUCACUUUUGUUUUUAGGAUUACAUGUUAAACUUCGAUUAGAUUCUUACCAUAGUUUUUCUAUUUAGAUACAGAAUCAUUUAUCUUAAAAAAUAUUUUACUUCAUAAUUCCCAAUCCUUGUACAACAAUUAUUACAACGAUAAGUUAUGAAAGGUUAUUGAUCCAUUGUAUUGUAGCGUAUAAGAUCCAGUGUCCACUACAAAUUUUUUUUGUUUUUCUCCUAUAUUUGAAGGCACGUGAGUUGGAACUGCGUUUUGUUCACCGAAUUGUGGCCGGAAAUAGGAUUUGGGACCAAAAUAAUAAUUGCACCUUGAAUAUGUAAGAAAUGAUUUUGCCCUAUUCGUACGUGCGGGACCAAAAAGAGACUUUCCAGAAAUGUGAGAAAUCAUUCAGGUGAUUUUACCCAUCCUUUUAUUUGUAGCAGUCCAGGACAAGUUCAAAUUUGGGCUGAAAAGAAAAGUUCAAUUUGGGCUACUCUUUAGUGACAGUUCAUUGAAUGGGUCAAGGGAAGAUUAAAUGAAAAUUUUAGGUUAGGAGAGACCAGUAUUGAAAGUUGGGCCAGAACUGCUCUGGGCUACAAUUGUAAAAUUUCUUUGAUGGAAGGCCAAAGCCCAAUAACCCAGUGCCAAUGCCUAGAGGUGCUUUUUUAGUCUUUGCAACGCAACUGUCAUUUCCUGAAGGUUUCGUUGUCCAGGUGAAGAUCUGUGGCAAAUUAUACACCACUCCUCAAUCGCCCACUAACUACACACGCAAGCACAUACGACUUGCAAUUUGUUGUAAAGCUGAGAGCCAGAGACCAAAUCCGACUUGGUCUUCGCUUCACGAGAAUCAAACGCGUUUACUCACGCGAGCCAUGUUGUACUUUGACGCCACCCCCGCAAAAAACCAAGCUUACUUUUUAAAAGCGUCAGCAUGUGUUUGGAUAUCAAAAUUAUCUCAAAUAAUAUUUCACUUACAUCACAAAUAUAUUUCUCAACUUACCUUUUUAUAUUUUCAACUACUUUUUAUCUCACAUAUAUCACAUCACAAAAAAUGCUACAGUAAUUAUUUCAAAUAAUAUUUCAAAUAACACACUAUCCAAACAAACCCGACAUGCUCUUUAUUCAACGAAAUGGAUUAUUAAACUUGGAAGAGAAAGUACAAGUGAAGGUUGUUCACUCUCAAAUCCCAAUCCUUUCACUUAUCUUGAGAAAAAAAAAAAAAAGAAGCUUCGAAGGCUUAAAAUAUCUCAUCUCGUUAACUAAAGAAAAAAAAAUCCUACCAAAAGACGUUUCUAUGAGUUUUGCCAAUUUCAGGUGAAAUGACUGCACAAUGUCAAUUCAAACACUUCGUCAAGCACAUCCCAGCUAUACUGUACUUCAAGUCACUCAAAUCAUGCAAUUAAAUAAGGACAGUUUGAAUUGUCAUUUUUAAAAAAAAUUUAGAAAAAAUAUAUUGUAAUAAUUUAGUAUGUAUAAAAUAAAAAGAUGAUUAAAAAAUAUAUUAACAUAAAAAAUUUUUUGCAAAAAAUCACAAUCCAAAUGUUUCAUAAGUCGUGAUGCGUUCAAGAUAGAUUAUUAUAGUCCUUCCCUAUGUCAUAGUCAUGCUAUUACUGGCAAGUUUAUCAUUUUCCCUUUCGAUCAUCAAUUAAAAUUUUUCUUUGCCCGGUUAUAGAUGAAGAAUAAGCAAAAAAAAAAAAAAGAUUUGUUUUCUACAUCUAUCCAUCAAAUAAAAAAAAAGAAGGGAUUAUUCGUUCCUACAAUGUAUAUACUAACAAUGCAUGUUGUAAGGACUUGAAAUAUUAUCUCAAUAAAGAUUUCUUCCUGAUAUGGAUAUUCAAUAGAUAGGAGCUCGACAAAAUCCUCUUAUUGCUGAAUAGAUAUCUCAACCAUGCGAGUUCAAAGUCCUAUAAUUCGCUGAAUUGGUAUCUCGACAACACAGGUUCGAAGUCCUAUAAUUCCAACAAAAAGAAGACAUGAAGAGACAGGGUUUUUUCCCCAAUGUCACUUUGAUGCUCAAGUUGUUUCUGAAAUAUGAAACAGUUCGACUUAAGAGUAAGCAAGAAUUCAGUUACCUCAAUAAGGGAGGAAAAUGGAGUAUUUAUAUUAGUAUAAGAAAGUUGUGAGUCAUUGGCAGCAAAGCUUAUAGGAUGAGGUCUUAGAGAUUGAAGAGGUGAUUCUCGUUCGGUCAAGCCCCGCUAAUUGGAUGAGGCGACUUUCUUGGCAAUGGGGUGCCAGGUUGAAGGAACCCACCAGUCAAAUUCACUCUAGACGGGGCUUUAUCCCCCGGUCUAUCUCCGACCAUCAAGUCAGUUCAGAUACAUAUUUAUAUUUAAAGACAACGUGAUUUGGAUAUGAGAGUACCUUCUGAUAGUAUAGAUUUCUUAGUCUUAGUUUUGUAUCCCUCUUUCCUUGAUAGGAGAAAGGGUAUUUAUAGGAGACAAGUUGGUAGGAAGAAUGAUGGGUUUCAAUUCCCAAGGGUCUGACACCGUCUGGGACAUGUCCAAUCCCAAUGGACAGGAUGCAGCAGUGGUCAUGUCGUGUCAAUACCUUGUCAACCUGUUAUGUAUAAAUCAGUCUUUUCAGAAAAAUGUCAGGCACCAGUACAUGGACAGUGGUCGAGUCUAGGUAAUGCUGCCGUUGGGAGACCAACCUCAGCUACAUAGAAGAGGCUAUGAGUCGAGACUGCUCGAAUCCAUAGAAAGUCGCCCCAUGGUUUGAGUCGGGUCGAGUCGAAAUGACCGCCUUCAAUAAGCCCCUCAAGCCUCAGGAAUGGGAAGUUCAUCCUGUCUCUUGACCUGAGACUCUUUUAUGCAGUAACUGUAGAACGUGGCAUAUUCUAAAAUAAUGAGACGCCAAAUGUGGACACGUUGGUUAGCAGGACAUAGGAUGAUGGGACGGUUAUUAGACUGAAUGACAUAGUGUUAGAAUGUGGAGAGAAGCACGGAACGGUUGUCAGAUGAACAGUCAGGCAUGAAUGGAGAGAGAGAAGGCACAUCUUUUGAAAUUUAAAACUGCCGCCCAUUCAUUUUUUUUUGCCCUUAUAAAUAGAGAAUCCUUUCACCAUUUAUUUACGGUGAUAGAAAGUUACGGUAGUUAGAUAAGAGCAGUCAACCGAGACUAAUUUGUAGUAGCCGACAUCAAUUUCGCCUCAGAAAAAAGUAAGCUUGUUUUCUUUUUUAAAUAUGGUCUGAGUAGCUCGCACGCAUAAGGAGACGAUGAGACCAGAUUUCGGAAGAGCGAAAAGGCCCGACCUAUUCAAAGAGGACAAAAGUACCUCGUAUAGUCCAGGAGAGGAGACAGCUGAGAUAUCUCAAGAGGCCGGGAUGUCACAAUAUGCCGGCGAAGAGGAAUCUGAGACCCAAUAUAAUGACGGUCUCGAAUCCAAAAUACUACAUGAUGAGAGAGUGAUGGAGCCAGCGGCCAGGCCGGAUCUCACCAGGGUAGAUUUCGGCCAAUUACCUCUUUUCAGAAGUACAGUUGGCUUGACUGAAACGAAUGCCAUGAUAUGGAGGUAUCGUUUCCGACAGGGUUACGGUAUUUAUCCCUUCAGGGCUGACCAGUCGGCCGAACUACCCCCUAAGGUGAGAAUAGCUAUUUACACAGAUCAAUUAGAAGUCGGGUUGAAAAUGCCUACCACGAGAUUUUUCCAGGACAACCUAUGGUAACUAGAUGAGGCGAUUUUCUCGGCAAUGGGGUACCGGGUUGAAGGAAUCCACCUAUGAAAUUCACUUUAGACAGGGCUUUAUCCCUCGUUCUAUCUCCAACGAUAAAGUCAGUUCGAAUACACGUUUAUAUUUAAAGACAACGUGACUCAUAUAUAUGAGUACGUUCUGAUAGUAUAGAUUUUUUACUCUUAUUUUUGUAUCCCCCUUUCCUUGAUAGGAGGAGGGGUAUUUAUAGGAUAUAAGUUGGUGUGAAGGAUGAUGAGUUUCAAUUCCCAAUGACCUGACACCGUCUGAGACAUGUCCAGUUUUAAUAGACAAGACGCAGCAGUAGUCAUGUUGUGUCAAUGCCUUGUCAACCUAUCAUGUAUAAGUCAGCUUUCUCAUAAGGAUGUCAGGCACCAGAACUUGAACAUUGGCCGAGCCGAGGUAAUGCCACCGUUGGGAGACCAACCUCGGUCGCAUAGACGAGACGAUGAGCCAAGGCUACUCGAGCCCAUAAUUUGAGUCGGGUCGAGCCGAAAUAACUACCCUCAGAGAUCAGCUUAAAUGAAACAAAUUUGAAGAAGAAAUUUUUCAUCAGUUCGGCAAGAGGAUCUAUUGAUCCCGACAUAAGUUGGCCAAACUACUUUUGAGCAUUACCUUGUAAAAACAAAGAAAAGACUUGACACAUCACAGGAUCGAAAACGCUAUAUAAGCGUAAUGCCAUGGUGAAGGCUUAUACAUGGCCCUCAAGAUUUCUCAAGCUAUCAUACAUGCUCAAGUGAAAACUUUGAAAUUAGGGGGUAGGAUAUACUUAUCUAUUUCUUAAGUAAAAGAGAACUCUUUUAGCACAUUGUCGGUGGGGCCACAGGUGAAUCGAAAACCAUCAGACCUAUUCCUUAGCUUAGAAAAACUUUGGGAUAGCACUCAAGCGAUCGAGGUCGCCUUUAAUGGUUGAUCCUUUUACAUAGUGUGAGGUAUCUCUUUCUUACUCGGACUUACUCUCAGAAAAAAAGUUGUCCUAAUUCCGGGUCUUCAAUCUCCGAGAGGUUUUAUCGGCUUUGUUUUUCUUUUUCACUUGCCUAACCAAUUCUUCAAAGAAAUGCAUAUUAUCGCGAACAAACCUCAUUAUUCGAGCUACUGCCCUUUCCCUUCUCUCAUGAGACCCCUCUUAAAUUUUCUCUUGAUCAUUGCAAGGAGAUGUCAAGGAGUGGGGAGGUUUAGAACAGUCGAUGCGAGUAGUAGGAGUCAUUGCAUAAGGCCAGUGUUUGAAAAUUAUUUUUUCCACGGAAGGCGUUAAUUAUGCGACCAAGAACUUCGCCAAGCCGAUAUCUCAACAAUGGGGGUCCAAAGUCCUGUGACCACAAAAGGAUAAUACGAAGAGAUGGGGCUUUUCCUCCCAGUGUCACUUUGAUACUUAAGUAAAUUCUUGAAGAGGUGAUUUUUGGUGGGUUGUUGGUCCGACCAGAAAUCAGGCUCCUCUGAGAUGAAGUGAGGUGAAUUCUUGUGUCCGAAGUGGAUGGCGGGGCUUCUCCCCUGGUAUCACUCCGACGAUCAAGUUAGUAUGAGAACAAGAAAAAUAGUAGUAUAUGAGAAUGAACAGUGUGCUUGCUUGUUGGUAGUGGGCGUGAGGUAUUUAUAGAAGGAGAGUAGAGGACAGGGCGGAAGGCCCAUGCUAGUGGGACCCACUCUCUGGCAUUACGGCUCUGUCCCUUGUCAGGAAACCUGACCCUGACACUGUAGCCUUCUGGGCAUGAUGACGGAGAGUAUUGUGCAGGUGCCAUUAAGUGCCUCCAGUGCUUUUCAGAUAAAGCACUGGUCCCGGGUGGUGUCAGGUGGCUUGACAUCAUCAGCGUGCAGCUGAGGUGGAGGUGCCGAGGUCACCUAUACGGUAGACUAGGGGUCCGGCCGAGCUCAGGGGUUAUGCCCAAGACACGGAUGAGCUCUGAUGAGGGACGAGGUGGGUUCAUCUCGGACAUGCGGGUGGCCGAGGUGAGCAUCCUCAAUUCUCAAAGUGUAAGAUAGUUUUGUUUAAAAGUAAGCAAAAAUUCAAUUACAUCAAUAAUCGAGGAAAAUUGAGUAUUUAUACUAAUAUGAAAGCUGAGAACCAUUAGGAGUAGAGCUUGUGGUCGACAUUCAUAGGUAUAGUAGUUCGACACCACGUAUUAGUUAUAUCAGGUCUCUUAGGAAUGCCUUGGAUCCAACUCUUAUGUGGAUGAGUCGAAUCUAUCUUGGAUGCUAGUCGAGACUAAGUUCGGAUCCCGCAAUGUUGAUUGAUGUAACUAGCGUUGUUUGAUGUUACAACGUUAAAAAAUCAAUCUACAGUAGAGUCGACAUAUGGAUUCUCCUAAUAUCGUUAAGAUGGCUUACUUGCUCAUAAACAAUCUGAGGACUAUAAAUUACACUCCAUUUUCUACGUCAUGAGGUAAUUGAAUGAUCUUACUCUCAUUUCUCGAGAUUACAUCUCUAUCUCGUCUAUUGACUUGGGUAUCGAAGCUCAUUCCGCAGGCUUGGGAUAAGCCAGGACCCUAUUUUGUUCUCUGUUCUACUUGUAGGCAAGCAGCUCGUCUCCAUCAAAACCUUGUUGGUAUACAUGUCACAUAUACAAAAUUUAAAAUUUAAUUUAAAAUUUAAGACUCAAAUUAAUUAUCAUGUCAAAUGACAACAUUAAAAAAUUAAUUUUUUAAUCCAAUGCAAACGCGGAUGGAGGCCCGCAGAAGCAAAAUCAGAACCGUCCCCUCAGCACUUCUAUUUUGUCUCUACUCUCUAGUCGGCUGGGAAGUCCCAGGAAAAUCCACGCAAAUACAAUCAAUAACCUCCAACACACGAGACAAGUGGGUGACGUUGAGCACGCGUCCAUGUUGGUUUUGCCACCUAGGAUUUAACUAAUUCACACAUCCCGGAGAAAGAUGUACUCUUCGAAACCCUCCCGAUGGUGCCACGUGUGGUACCUAACAUACCUGGGCUUCGCCUUCCUCAGUUCCACACCGCGUUGCAAAUACUCCGUAUAUUCCCCAACAGCUAGCACUAGUCGUGUGGAAUAGUAGAGGAGUAUUACAGGAAGGUUCAUACCCAUCCACAUGAAAGUCUAUUGAACAGCAUACCCAUGCAUAAAUACUGCCACCAUCGUCUCCCCCAAUUCCAUUAACACGCUAUUUGCCAUAUAUUUUUCCCCACUCAUCAUCAUUCUGAUCACUUCUAUUUUCGACUUUUUUUUGUGCCCUUUUUUUGUCCAUGGAAAAUUUGACUCUCUCCGGAUUAUUGAUAAACGUUGCCGCAAAAUUUCCCUCCCGCCGCGCCAUAUCGGUUCCAGGCAGGUUCGAUCUUUCUCAUGCAAGGCUUCAUCAGCUUGUUGAACGUACUGCUACCCGCCUCGUCGCCGCCGGUGUUCAACCCGGGGACGUUAUUGCUCUCACCUUCCCCAACUCCGUCGAGGUCCAUUUCCUUUCCCUUUCACUCCCACUUCUUGUUUUCCUCGUCGCAGAUUAAGUUUGAAAUCGACGAACUAAAAGAUUGACAAAAUCCUAGAAAGUUCAUAUUGUAUUUGAUUUUGGAAGUUGCACCAGUAUAAGAACGAGAACAAUUAAUUAUUUUAUUUGUUACAAUACGAUUAAAUUGUUGGGCGAGGCUUCAAAAAUCUCGCCCAAACAUUUAAUUAAUUAAUUAAUUCUAUUGUUUCCAUCGGUUCUUUCUCCGCAGACAAGAAUUGUUGGUAUAUUUGUCCCCUUGCUUAUAGGCUGGUGGCAAUUAUUUCAUUCAUUUGCCGUUUCGCGGCGUAUAUUUUGCUGAUUAUUAGCAUUGAUUAGUUUGCCGUUUCCGAUUUUUAUGAUUAAAUAAUUAACUACGUAUCAAUCUGGGGGACUUCUGACUUAUUGCAGUUCGUGAUUGCGUUCUUGGCCGUAAUUCGAGCACGUGCGACGGCGGCUCCGCUCAAUCCGGCUUACACGGCUGACGAGUUCCAGUUCUACUUGUCCGACUCCGACUCAAAGAUCUUACUCACCUCAAAACAAGGCAGCGCUCCGGCUCAAGCCGCCGCGUCUAAGCUCAACAUUCCUCACGUCACUGUCGCGUUACCCGAUGCGGAUUCGGAUGUCGCUCUUUCUUCCUCCCUCUCCCAGUACGAGUCGGACCCGGAGCCGGAUCCGAACCUGUCAUCCAAACUUAUCAAUGAUCCCAGUGACAUCUCUCUCUUUCUCCACACCUCCGGCACGACCAGCCGGCCCAAAGGGGUUCCGUUAACCCAGCUUAAUCUUGUUUCCUCCGUAAACAAUAUUAAAUCUGUUUACAGAAUCACUGAGUCUGACUCCACAGUGAUUGUUUUGCCCCUCUUUCACGUACACGGGUUGUUGGCCGGGUUAUUGAGUUCUGUGGGAGCCGGCGGAGCCGUGACCCUCCCGGCUGCUGGGAGAUUCUCAGCUUCAACUUUCUGGUCAGACAUGAAGAAUUACAAUGCCACGUGGUACACGGCUGUUCCUACUAUCCACCAAAUCAUUCUGGACCGCCACCUCAACAGCCCCGAACCCGUUUACCCAAGGUUAAGAUUUAUACGGAGCUGCAGCGCGGCUCUGGCUCCUAGCAUUCUUGCUCGACUUGAGGAAGCCUUCGGGGCUCCUGUCUUGGAGGCGUAUGCCAUGACUGAGGCCUCCCAUUUGAUGGCUUCCAACCCGUUACCCCAGGAUGGCCCGCAUGUGCCCGGGUCAGUUGGGAAACCCGUGGGUCAAGAGAUGGCCAUAUUGGAUGAAAAUGGGAAACCGCAAGAGGCCAAUGCCAACGGCGAGGUGUGUAUCAGGGGCCCAAAUGUGACUAAAGGGUACAAGAAUAACCCCGAAGCCAAUAAAUCUGCUUUCCAGUUCGGGUGGUUCCACACCGGGGACCUCGGAUACUUGGAUUCGGAUGGAUAUUUGCAUCUUGUUGGCAGGAUUAAGGAGUUAAUCAAUCGUGGAGGUAAAAUUUUGCAAAUAAUGCAUUAUUUGUGCUAUUAGUUUGGUAUUUAGCAUAAGUUAAAAGCAAUUAUUACGUUUGCACUUUAGACAAAGCUUGCAAUUUGAUGCAUUAUAGAGUAGUAUUUUAUAAGGAGGAGAAUUUUCAUUUUUAAACCAUGUAGCUUUUGUUGAAGAUUGGCCACUUCAGGUGCAUAUGAUAGUGAUUUUUUUUUUUUUUUUUUUUUUUGUCAUCACUGGGGUAUCCGGGCAUAUGAUAGUGAUUGCUAAAGCUUGACCGCUACUUUCUUAAUAUCAGUUUAGGGAGGCUGGAGGUGUGGGAUAGUUAGUGCUGGUGGGCCCGACAUGAAAGACCUUGACAAUUGUGGCUGAUUAUAUCUAUUUCUGCUUGGCAGAAAUGUUAAAAAGUGUUAGCAAAAUUCAGUUGGUGUAAAGAUUAACGUGUCACCUUAACAGAACAGUGAUUUGUGAAGUUUAAAAUUUAACAUCCCAUGGUGGCCUUGAUUUUUCAGAUUACUGAAUUAGUAACAGGGGGUUUAAAACUAAGGACGUUAUGUCUUACGUUGUAGAUUGGACCUGCUAACCGCUGUCCUGAUCUGGUAGCUUACUGAUGGAGCAUGCAACUAAUGGUUGUGUCACGGUUCUUAUUAGCUUAUGGUUGUUACAGCACUAUUCCUUCUUACGAUAUACGGUGUCUGGAAAUUUUGACUUGAUUGUGUUAUGACUCCGUUAAAGAAAAGAAACUGAAGGUCUUUCACAUAAACAAUUUCAGGUGAGAAAAUUUCACCAAUUGAAGUGGAUGCCGUCCUGUUAUCUCAUCCAGAUGUUGCGCAAGCUGUAGCUUUUGGAGUCCCUGAUGACAAAUAUGGGGAAGAGGUAAUGUCAGACAUUUGUCAUUGAGUCACUUUUUAAUCUUUAAUCACCUAAUUGUUGUUGUCUAUAGCUAGCCAAGGACGAAAAAGUGUGCACUUGUCUGAUGUCUGGUUUCCAUCUGGCAGUUUAUUUGAAUUUCCUAGAAGUCUUUUGUCAAAAUACUCGGAUUGACUUAUGGUUGCGUUCAUGAACGAUUACUUUGUCAAAUUUCCUUUGUCAUCUGAGUAUGUUUUAUAGUUUCCUGUGAAGUUCUGAAUAUGCUUCAGCAAUACUAGAAGUCACUGUUGUAGUCAUAGGCUAGCGAAGCCUCGUAACUACCCACUCUUUGAUUGUCUAGCAUGUCUCUUACAAUGUCAACAUCUGCCCUCCAUCGUAGAACAUCUAACAUCCGUCUUUCCUUUCCUUACUGUGUAAACCUGUCCUUUUCUGAGAGCGGAUUUAUGAGGUUGAGUCGGUAUGAAUUUGGCUCUGCUGGAAGCCUGAUUUGUCUGCUAUUAGAAUGAUGUUGUUGUGAUGGUUGUCUGUCAUAUAUCUGCUUCAAUCAAAAGAUGCCAUCUGCUAGUCAUACAAUGUCUGACAUGUAUUUGUAUAGAAGGUUCAAUUGAACUCCAAUUUUUUGGUUGCACGCAAAAUUUUCCCUCCAAUUGUUCCUUUUUUUUUUUUUUAAUACAGAAGUAGAGUAAUUCAUGCUUCCUCCAUCUCUAUAGUUGUUGAGUUGUUCAUAUUCUGUCUUAAUUCUUUUGAUAACAUUCUAAUUUUUUUUUUGGUGUUUCCAGAUUAAUUGCGCGGUUAUCCCCAGAGAAGGGGCUAACAUUGAUGAGAGUGAGGUGUCGAGGCACUGCAAGACGAAUCUUGCAGGGUUCAAGGUCCCGAAGAAGGUUUUUAUCACCGAUUCUCUUCCCAAAACUGCCACAGGCAAAAUCCAAAGGCGAAUUGUGGCAGAGCAUUUCCUCGCACAGAUUUCUACUGCUAAGUUCCCCAAGUUUGGAGCCUAAAGAAAUUCAUGUUGUAUUGGCUAAUAUCCCUCCUGAGUACCGAAAUCAGAACGCAAAUUCCUUCCUCACAAAUACGUUGAUGAACCAAUUAAGAUCGCCAUAGAAUGAAAAUUUUUUGUUGUACAAAGGAAGAAAAUGUGAAAAAAAAGAAGAAGACAUUUUAGCUUUGUCCAGGUUAUUUUUAUUCUCAGCUGUCAAAGGUUUCGGUUGGGUGUUGCUUGAUGGGUAGGCCUUACGUAGCACUGGCUCGCAUUAAGACGGAGAAAUGGCAAUUUCUAAUGUAAUCAUGCCCGACCUUGUCGGAUUGUGAUGGUGGAGUUAUUCUUGUUGGAUAGGAGGAAUACAAUGCAUUUUACUUCCUAACAAUGAGAAUUUGGAAUAUGAUGAGUAAGUCGUACAACUGCCACUAGUAAAUCAAGCUCUUUGACGGGGUCAAUAGGCUUGAUACAUUGUUGAGUAAAUCGUUAAAAGUGGUUAUUGAACUAUUAAAAAUGGCACAAAUUAGUUAUCGAAUUUUUUUGACUGAAAAGGUCACUUGGUUCUCUAAAAUGAGCCUUUCAGAUCAAUUUGACCAAUUUAGUCGAUAAACUAAUCUAAAAAGUAAACUUGACCUUCUACUAUAGGUUCUUGAGGAUAAAUUUUUUUUUUUUGAUUGAUUUCUUAAAUAAGGAAAAAAAAUAAGAACAUAUAGUGCAGGAGUACUGAAUGUCUGAAACUUCCAGACUUCUGGUCAUUCUGUGGACUUUUGCCACCGGUACAGAAAAUAAGACUCCAUAUCAAGUCUGGUCACUGUGUGGGAUUUUGUCGCCAAAACUACGUAUAAACAGACCCAAUCUUGUUUAUAGGAGUAAAUCCAAACGGCAGAAGCAGGCAAUCCAAGCUUGUUAUAGGAGUUGAUUCCCAAGAGACUCAGAACCAGAGAAAAUUACUCUCGUCAAACUAUUACAUGAAGCGUGUUUUAUGCGACACCGACUCCAGGAUACCGGUGACUCGUGUGGUUUAUUUAUGUUUCACCUACUCCCAAGAUUUCAGAAGUAAAAUUCCCUCAAAACAGAUUUAAGUUUCAACUUCAUAAUAACCCUCAAGAUUAGGCAUAUCAUUUAUCACAGGAGCAACAAUUUUUGUGUCAUGAACAUCACUUUCAGUAAAACCUGUAACCUCUGAUAGUAACCAUAACACCCAAAGCCAGAAAAGAGGUGAAUUAAGAAAAGCACUAAUCUGCAAACAAGAGACUUGCCACAACAGUGGCAAGACUACAGCAAUCGAAAAUCAGGUAUUCAAAGGGGUAAACACAGAAACCUUGCAACAUAAAAACCACUGAAAUCCAUGUUAUAUAAUGCUAAAACUACUUAAGCUUCCUGACCCUCUUCGUCUUCUUCCUCGUAAUCAUAACCUUCCUCAUCUGCAGUAGCGUCUUGGUAUUGUUGGUAUUCAGAAACCAAGUCAUUCAUGUUGCUUUCUGCUUCAGUAAACUCCAUUUCAUCCAUGCCCUCUCCAGUAUACCAAUGCAAGAAAGCCUUUCUGCGGAACAUAGCUGUGAAUUGCUCGCUGACUCUCCGGAACAUUUCCUGAAUUGAGGUGGAAUUUCCAAUGAAAGUUGAAGCCAUCUUCAAACCAGUCGGAGGAAUAUCACAGACAGUAGACUUGACAUUGUUUGGAAUCCACUCAACAAAGUAGGAUGAGUUCUUAUUUUGCACAUUAAUCAUCUGCUCAUCAACCUCCUUGGUGCUCAUUUUACCUCGGAACAUAGCCGAAGCAGUCAAAUAUCGACCAUGGCGAGGAUCAGCAGCACACAUCAUGUUCUUUGCAUCCCACAUCUGCUGAGUGAGUUCUGGGACAGUGAGAGCUCGGUAUUGCUGUGACCCACGAGAUGUGAGUGGAGCAAACCCAACCAUGAAGAAGUGCAAUCUAGGGAACGGAAUAAGAUUGACAGCUAACUUGCGAAGAUCAGAGUUCAGCUGACCAGGAAACCGAAGGCAGCAAGUAACACCACUCAUGGUGGCUGAGAUCAGGUGGUUCAAGUCUCCAACUGUUCAGAAAGCAAUAUCAAUUUAGUCACUUGCUCAACUGUCACUUACAAAUUUCUUGAAAAUACAUAGCCAUCUGCUAGCAUCUAAGCAUUAGACUUCAUACUUACGAAAGGAUGUAAAAGUAUGGAACUCUCAUUUAAAAUCAUUGCUUGUAUGCAAAAAAUUAACUCUCAACCAAAACCUCUGAACAAUCUUAUCAAUCAACAAAAUUGAGUUCAAAUGACACAGAAAGCUACAAAAGAAACUGAAUUUGAUCCACUUGUGCUAAACAACACAUAAUACUUCAUGAUUCAGAUGGAGUGUCAUGAACUCCAAAUGAUACUUCAUAUACACUUCUGUAUAGAUUCUGAAAUCGUUCAUCUGUCUCCCAUUGCAUGAAUUUCUGUCAUCAGUUAAAUAGUGAUUCAUUGACAAACAAGCAAACCACUAAACGUUUAAAUCACCAUAUCUGCAUAUGCAACGAUGUAAAAUUUUCUUUGGAGGAACAAAUAGUCAUAAUCAGACCUGUAGUUGCCAACAAAUGCAAUGGACUUACAGCUGGGGGUGGUGAGCUUAAGGGUGCGGAAGCAAAUGUCAUAAAGAGCUUCAUUAUCCAGAACCAUACACUCAUCGGCAUUCUCAACCAGCUGGUGCACAGACAAGGUCGCAUUAUAGGGUUCCACAACAGUGUCAGACACCUUAGGAGAUGGGAAAACAGAGAAGGUGAGCAUCAUCCUGUCAGGAUAUUCCUCCCUGAUCUUAGAAAUGAGAAGGGUCCCCAUUCCUGAACCAGUUCCACCUCCCAACGAGUGACACACCUGAAAUCCUGAUACAUCAACAAAUAGGUUACUCGUCGGGUUUUACCCAUCCAAUAAAAUCGCCCAGAAAGCACAGAAAAUCUUUGCCAGCACAAAAUCGAAUCAACACAGCAAUUUCAAGUUAAACAAAGAGGCCAUUGCCAACCAGGCUUACGAGUUAAGAACCUGGAGAACUAUGAGUAUAUUUCAUCAGAUCUAGAUUAUUUUGCAUCUUUUUGUUUUUUUUUUCCCUCUCCGUCUCCAGAAAACCAAGCAAGCAUACUUAAAACAAGUCGUGAAAACAACCAGAAACAUACUACUAAAAGAUAAUCAGAAUGAAGCCACGACGAGUAAAGGAGGGAAUAAAAACAACCAAGACUUAAGAGUAGCAAAACUGACUAAUGAAUUCACAAAAUCAACAGAUCCACUAAAAUCACACACAAAUAACGCGUGAAGGUAAGACAUAAAAGAAUCUGUCAGAAACAAGGGUGAAGUACCUUGAAGGCAGUCACAGUUUUCGGCUUCUUUGCGGACGACGUCGAGAACGGAGUCAAUGAGCUCAGCGCCUUCUGUGUAGUGACCCUUAGCCCAGUUAUUUCCGGCACCGGACUGCCCAAAAACGAAGUUAUCAGGGCGGAAAAUCUGGCCGUAGAGCCCAGAUCUGACGCUAUCCAUGGUGCCGGGCUCCAGGUCCAUGAGGACGGCGCGCGGGACAAACCUCCCGCAGCUGGCUUCGUUGUAGUAGACAUUUACUCGCUCCAACUGCAAAUCGUUGUCUCCCUUGUACCUGCCGGUGGAAUCGAUGCCGUGCUCGGCGCACACGACUUCCCAGAACUUGGCUCCGAUCUGGUUCCCGCAUUGCCCUCCCUGAAUGUGCAAAAUUUCACGCAUCUUUUUUUGUUUUGGGUUCAAAAAUUUGAAACUAGAGAGGGCGAGAGUAGGAAAGCUCGACUGUAAGGAGAGAAAGCAGGGCUGAAGAGAGAACCGGUAUCUUUUCUCAGUUGGAGAGAGGAGAGUGAGGAGGGGAUUAUAUAUAUAUAUAUAUAUAUGUAUUAAGGGAUGAGUGGGGGCGCCGGAUCAUGGUGUUUGCUGUGACCCAAGUGGGAAUUUUUGAAAUUUGAAUUUUCGGGCAGAGACUGAACACCAAUUUUCGCCCCGUUUAACAAGUGAAUUUUUUUGAAUAUUUAUCUAAAACUUUGACCCCAUUUAGUAAAUAAAUUUUUUGAAUAUUUAUCUAAAAUUUUACUGUAAUUUAAUGUAAAAGUUUUUUAAAAAUUUUUAAAAUGUGUAAAUUUUUGAAUAUUUUGAAAUAUAUAGUUUAGAAACUUUGAAAAGUUUUUUAAAAUUACUGUAGUUAAAGUUUUUAAAAAACUUAUAGCAGACAAACUUGACAAAAAACUUGUUUAUCAAACAAGGCCUUCAAUUUUUUUUGUGUGAGAUUGAUUAUAGAAGAAAGUAAUUUUUGUUUAUUUGGAAAAUCAUUUUUCCUUUAAAAAAAUUUAUGUUUUCAAUGAGCACUUUGUUAGAAAAGUCAUUUUUUAUCAAAAAUUAUUUGUAUUUUUAAUGAACAUAUUUUUUAAUUACAUUCUUAUCUCAUACAGUUAUAAGACUUUUUUUUUUUACAAAAAUUUCCAAAAAAUAGUAAUUUAAACAUAUUCAUAAUUUUUUGCCUAGUCUAAAAUAUACUUCUAGUUAUGUUUGGUUAGUAGAUUAUUUGAAAUAAUUUUGUGAAAAAAAACUAAAACGUUUUUUGAUGUGAUGCAUGUGAGAUAAAAAUGUAACUGAAAAUUGUGUUAAUAAUACAAGCAAGUCAGUGUGUGUAAAUAAAGUGUAAAUAAUGGAUCUGUUUGGAUAAAGUAUUAUCUGAAAUAUUAUUUGAAAUAAUUACUAUAACACUUUUUGUGAUAUGAUGUAUGUGAAAUAAAAGAGAUGAUUGAGAAUAUAAAAAAAUGGGUUAAAAACUGUAUUUAUGAUGCAAAUGAAAUAUAUUAUUUGAAACAAUUUGGUAUCCAAACAAACCUAUAUAUAUUUGUAAUACAAACAAACUCGCUGGUACUUUUAAGAGGGUCGUUUACGCGCUUAAAUGGAGCGUGAGAGAGAGAGAGAGAGAGCACAAAACUGGGGGAAUGGCAGAACUGGGUGACAGUGCAAAUGUCUGAUGAUGCUGAUGCGGUAAAAUGGCACGUGAUCUGGGAAAUGGGCAUGUGACUAGCACUGAAAUGAUAUCAAAACACGCACCCUAAACCAGACCCCACCCCGCACCACCACCAAAAAAUAAAAAAUAAAAAAAGAAGAAAGAGCGUGCUGUAGCAUCGCAAAAGUAGAUGGUUAAACAAUAAUUUUUUUUCUUUAUUUAUAAGAAUUGUUCCAGGUUUCGUCAAAGAAGAACUCCUAAUUAAUAUCGCCACAUUCAUUGUCCUCACAAUUGUAGAAAAGCUUCCCUCAUUCCUCUUCCUUACAGCUUCUGAUCAUGCUGCUUGGCAUUUUGUAUUUUCAGUGUAGAGACUCCAACAAAUUGGCUCUUCCUUUGAAAAAAGGUAAGGCUUUUUCUAUAUCAGCACAAGCAUUACAAUAAAAGAGUACCAUAUGAUAAUUACAAUGGAUAAAUUCAUUAGUAAACACCAACUGCGAAAUAUUUGGACUUUGGACAAUCACCUUUUUAAACAAAGAAUGCGGUAAAAAGCUUUUGUAGUAGUAAAAGAUAAAGCCCAAUGCUAUCUCCAAAAUAAUAAUAAUAAUUACACAUUUAUUUACACGCUCUCUCUCUGACUUACCUGUAUUAUCAACAUAUUUUUCAAUCACUUUUUUAUUUUACAUAAUCACAUUAAUAAAGUGUUACAGUGUUUUUUUUUUAAUGAAAUUAGCUCAAUAAUAUACUAUCCAAACACACAAAAGCCCAAUAUUUGGAGAUGAUUGACUUCUAUCAAUCUACACAUGUUAAGAAAUGAGUUGAACUUAAUGUUGGAGCUUCAAAAAGCUUCCAAAAUGCCACGACGCAACUAGAGUGCAGGUGUUUAUCAUGAUUAUAUACCCGAAAACCUCAUGCUCGUUAUAUGUCGAAUUUUGGUACCAACCCAGAAUAAUUUUUACGGAUAUGAGAAAGAAGUCAUUCGUUUCUGCAAGGAAAUUGACGACAUUUCACGGUCUAACCCGACAUCUCUUAUUUACCCGUCAUCAAUGCAGGUGGAUGUUUACAGCUGCGGAUUAAUGUGGAUGUAGAAUUUGAUUUUCUUUUUCUAUUUCUUUUUUUAAAUAGGCCUACUACACCAGUCCCUACAAAUCCAAAUACUUUGCGGUGAGGUGAAGUCUUAAUCAGGCCCAUGGAAAUAUAGCUGUGUAGCAGAAGAACGAACAUAUAGCAGAAGCGUAACUUAGGACUUGGCCCAUAGGUCCCAUACCAAACGUGCGUCUCACUCGUUAUACUGACUCCAGAAGGGUCCAAAAAAAAAGCGCAUCAGCUGUCACCUGACAGAACAGUCAGGAACCUCGAUCACGAGGGAAGAGGGACCAACCAAAGGCCCAGUGGUAAUCCCAAGCCUUCUCAGGUUUAGUGGUGCGGAAGGUCAAGGGUUCGAACCUUGUCUUUCACAAAAUUUGUCACAAUAUGUGACGGUCUUCAUUGAUCAGUUUCGAUGGAGUUUCUACUCACAUCGAGUCCCCUCCCCCCUAGAAUAUGCUAGUUUAGAUUAUAGGAAUUCUAUUGUAUCGACAAAAAAAAAAAAAAGGAAAGAGGGACCAACCGUCGCGGAAGGUCAAGGGUUCGAACCUUGCCUUUCACAAAAUUUGUCACAAUAUGUGACGGUCUUCAUUGAUCAGUUUCGAUGGAGUUUCUACUCACAUCGAGUCCCCUCCCCCCUAGAAUAGGCUAGUUUAGAUUAUAGGAAUUCUAUUGUAUCGACAAAAAAAAAAAAAAAGGAAAGAGGGACCAACCGUCCCUGCCAGUUCACGGUCAAGAUUUGAUAAAAAAAAAUUAUACGAUUCAUAUUUCAUUUUAUAUUUCGAUUUUAAUAACAUAUGUGAAAUUCAUAAAAUUUUAUUCUAAAGUUACACGUUAUUAAAAGUAAGUUAAAUUAUGUGCAGAUAAAAUUACGACGUGUGCAAAAUACACAUAAUUGUCAGGCCGUUCCUGGUCCCGAUGGCGAGUGGCCGGACAAAUUCUGCAGAAUGCACGAUACCCAGGCUUGCUUUAAAAUGCCCUCAAAUCUAAACCCCAAAAAAGGAAAAGGGCAAAAAAAGAAAAAAAGAAAAAAAGAAGAAGCCACUCAAAUCUAAUCGAAACACACACCAAAAAUACACGCGCUUCAAAUCUCUGAUUAUUCAUGAAUGUACGCACGUUGAAGACUUGAUCCAAUUAUUAUUCGGAACCUUAAAAAAAAAAAAUCAGUCCAAAUUCCAAAAUCACAAUAACGUGGUCUCCACUGGGGAUGGGUGUCUGCCUGGAUUUGAUGUUGAAGAGAAGCAAAUGAGUCAUCAAAUGAGUGCCCAAGUAACCAUCAUACCACCUUCGGAACCAAGCAAAAAGAAGAAAAGAAUACCCAAUCCACAAGUCACAUUUUGCUUUCUUUUAACGUGCUGAUGUUCACCUUCCUGCUAAUUCAUCAACUUUUUUCUUUCCUUUUCUUUUUUAACACAAAAUUUUAUCACCCUUUUAAUGUCUUUUACUCUUUUUUAUACUGGUAGUAUUAGUAUUAGCUAGUUUUCAGGAAGUACACAGUGAGUGUGUUUGGAUAGUAAAUUAUUUGAGAUAAUUUUGUGAAAACAUAUUGUAAAAUUUUUUUGAUGUGAUUUAUAUGAGAUAAAAAGGUGAUUGAAAAAUAUGUUGAUAAUGCAAGCAAGUCAGUGUGUGUAAAUAAGGUGUAUAAUGUGCAUUCAAAACACACUUUGACCUAAGUGUUGGCCUUUAUCUAUGUAUCAUGGAGCUAGAGCCAUCCAUGUUCCAUCCUACAAGGCCUGUUCCAUUUAUUUUAUCUCAAUCCUUUUUUUUUUAAGGAUAUUUUAUCUCAAUCUUGAAAUCUUGAAAAUCUGUUGCAUCACUAGUUAAUGUAAUGAGUUUGAUCUCUUAACUCUUAUUGAUUUAUGUACCGAGGUUGCCAAUAUAAGUUGGCUAAUUUAGUAAGAACGAAUCACCUCUUUACAAAAAAUUUGCGUGUUCAAAUCUCACUGUUAGUGUGAGAACUGCAAUGAUGGACGAGCUAUAAGAAUCUUUGUAAGAAACUUGUGGUUCUAAGGGUAUGUUCUAAUUCGUUGUGGCGAUCGGAGUUAAAUCCAUCCAAAUCUUUUAUUACAAAAAUACAAAAUAUAUAUAUAUAUAUAGAGGUCUAUUUUAUUGGUCAAAGGAAAAAAUAUGAGGUUGCAAAGGAAAACAAUUAAUUGUGUAGUAAUAUUUUUAGUUUGUUGCAUAUCUUUUGAAAGUUUUGCAGACCAGAUGAAAACCAUGCAUGAUAUGGUAGACAAUCAAAACUAAUAUAAAAGCCGUACAGGCGUUCACGAAAUUAAAAAGGAAUAAUUUCACUCAGAUUCUCUUAGGUUUAAGAAAUUACACUUAUCUCUCUUGAUAUAGUUAAAUACCUAUAAUACCCUCAAUUUAGUAAACAAUUUUAAAUUUAAGACAAUAAAUUUACAAAACCUAAAAAAAAUAUAUUUUUCUAUCUCUUGUCUAUUUUCUAGUUAAUAUAAUAUCUUUUUAUUAUCUUUAGUUUUGUGAAUAUUAGCAAUUUAAAAUUACAAAAUCUACAAAGAGAGUAAAUUAUGUAUCAAACUAAAAGGCAAUAAAGAGACUCACAAUGAUAGAUAAAUAAAUAAUAAAAAUAAUGAUUGAAGUAGGAAAAAUAACUAAAGAUGUAGAAUUUGUCAUAUUUUUGUUUGUUGUUGAGAAAAACUUUUAUAAAAUAUCAAUAAUUACAUAAUGAUUUCUUUCAUUGGAUUAGAAUUUUUUUAUUAUGAUUUUAUUAUAGAGGUAGAAUUUAUUCUCUACUUUUGAGCUAUUAAUAUUUUUUAAAAUCAUAGGAGAGUUGUAAUGGUGGUUCUAAGUCAAAUUAGCUUAUAUUGAAAAGGUAUUUGAGUAUUGAUAUUUAAUUUGAGAGUAUAAAAUUGGUUAUCAAUGAGGGGUUUUUUGCGUGUGUGUGUGUUUUUUUUAUUGUGACAAGUAUUGAUACUGCAUAUGCAAUAUGAGAUUUUUUUGAUGACUACUUGAUUUUAGAACUUAUGAUUGGAUGGUUGUUAGGGAUUUGGCUUGUUGAUUUUUGCAAAGUGUGAAAGAAAAUGAUUAAGUAUACUGUAUUUUUCUUUCUUAGUUUUGUAUAAAAGGGCAAUUUAGGAUUUUUGAAAGAAAAUCUAAAUUCUUGGAUCUACAUUGUUACUAAACAGUAAAAAUAUGGGAGGUAUAUGUAAUUGUUAAAAUUUGAGCGGAGCUCUUUGUAAUUGUGAGAAAUCUCAGGGGAGGUUUGUGAAAUUAUCCCAAUUAAAAAUGGUGCAUGAUAUGCGGCUAAUUCCUUAGAAUAUUUGUAUUUAAAAAAAACAACCGCCAAAUACACCUCUGACAUGGGUGUUUCUCAUUCUAUAGCGGCCGUGCUGAGUCAGCACGGCCGCAUAAUUAAAUAUUCCACCGAAAUCUUGUCUGCAAAAAAUUCAGUGGUGCAGAGGGUGUCAGCGCGGACGUGCUGACUGGGCACGUCCGCGGCUGAAAAAGCUGCUUCUAGUCUGCACAUGUGUCAGACGGGGACGUGCUGACUGGGCACGUCCACGGGAGACACAAAAUCAGUGCUGGUCUGUUGUGUCAGACGCGGACGUGCUGACUGGGCACGUCCGCGUCCGACACAUGCUAAAAAAAUCCUCUCAACUCUGAGAAUUGGGAACUGAAACAAUCCUCCAUCCACCCAUCACCCAUAUAUUAUUGCCAACCAAAAAGACUGGAAACAAACCCAGAAAGAAAGAAACCAGAGAAGUAGAAUUGUCUCGGUCCAUCUAUUGGUCACCUCCCGACUCCGAAAGCCACAAAAGCUGAACCAUAGCCCCACCCCACCGCCACAUCACUCAGCCCUUAUAGUUUACUUCACUCUCUUCUCUUCUGCGCCAAUCAACAACCAAAAUUUGCACAAACAACCCAUGCCAUGCAUAAUUUGCUUGGAGAAUUUUAUUUUUUUAAAAAUCACCCUUUUACCACUUUCAUAAUGUGUACAUAUCAAUCAUAACGUCGUAAAUAGCGUAACAAAUAAUAAUGAAAUAUGUUAUUCAAUAAACAACUCACGCUUUGCGCCACUACAACAAGCAUGUUUUGAUUGCUAUAUAUAUAUAUAUAUAUAUAUUAUUAAGAAAAAUUUUAUUUAUACACUACUUAGUUAUUAUAUCUUUUUUCACUUCAUAUAAAUUACAUCGUUAUUAUUAUUAUAUAGUAUACUUUUUCGAGAUCUAUAUUAACUUAUCAAUUACUCGUACCUGUGUUAUACACCAUUCUAUAAUUAGUAUGUGCAUUAGAACUGUAGACUAGAUUUUAUCAUAAUACUAGUAUUAGGAAUGUAGUGAAAAAUUUUAUAUACACUCCCUAUAUUUAGUGCAACAUUUUGGGAAAGUAAUUAAUAUUCGUAUUCGAUCAUUUUAUUUGGGAUGUACAGAAGUUUGUUAAUGGUCAAUGAUAUUCUUCGUAUUCUAAAAAGAGUUAAAUGACAUAAACACUCACUUCAUAGAUUUUUCUAAUUUUUUAAAUGCCAAAAUACGCUCAAGGUAUAAUUUAACGAUAACUUUGUGUUACUUUUGUAGAAACCUUUUUUUAAUUUUAAAAAAAAUUCUAACAUUGUUUAAUAAAUCCUAAAGUAAUACACAAUUUCAAAAUAAUAAUAAUAAUAAUAAUAAUAAAGUUUAGUACUUUAUUGAAGAACUACUAAACAAUUGAUCAUGGUUGUUAAGAUUCACUUCUAUCACUAGUUGCAUUAUAAUCCAAGACUAAUUUAAGAGUAGGAAAAAUUAAGUGAUAAAAUAAAGAAAUUUACUACCAUUAAAUACAUAGAUGGGCACUUUUUUGUCUCCAAAAAAUUUUGCAGUUUUUUUGUUGUCAUUUUAUUAAGAACAAAAAAAGAAAGAAAGGAAGGAUGAAGUGUCUGGAGCAUUCUUCGAAAUGCUUAUAUCAUUUGCAUUGAUAUUGAUUGCAGUUUCAUAGCAUUUGCAUCCGUCUGACACAUGCACAGACUUGGAGUCAGUUUUGUCAGGCCGCGGAUGUGCCCAAUCAGCACGUCCGCGCUGACACCCUCUGCCCCACUAAAUUUUUUGCAGACAAGAUUUCGGUGGAAUAUUUAAUUAUGCGGCCGUACUGACUCAGCACGGUCGUUAUAGAAUGAGAAAUACUCCAUGUCAGAGGUGUAUUUGGAGGUUGUUUUUUUUAAAUACAAAUAUUCUAAGGAAUUAGCCAUGAUAUGCAGGUUCCGAAAAUAUAUCAAUAAACUGAUUUUGAAGGAAAGCGCUACAGCAUAAGUUUUUCACUGAGGAAAUCGCGGAAGAUCUUGCGCUUUUACGCGAAAGAGAUGAGGUCGGAAUCCCGCGAGCCCACGCUUGGCAAAAACCCUUGACCUCCCGUUUACGCGAAGUUGCCCUUGCUGGCUGCUGCCUAUUUUCAUCGUUCUUCUUUCUCCCAACUAUCUCCACCACUUUCUACUACUGUUACACUGCUAAAAUUUCACUACCUGAGGCAUUUCUCUUAUACUAGUAUAGGAACCAAUGGUGAGCAAGAGGCAGAAAUUGGCCCGCAAGCGAUUUAAAGAAGAGCACCCUGAGCUCUUCCCAAAGCCAGACCCAACGCCUCCCAAAGACCCAACCAAGAAGAAGAAAAAGUUAUCCAAAUUCAAGAGGGAAAAAACGGUUUCCAAUGACCCAAGUAAUCCCAAGAAAUCCUUUAAGGGGAAAAAGCACCCAUUUAGAAUUCCAGGUAUGAAGCCUGGCGACAGCUGUUUCAUAUGCAAAGCACCCGACCACAUUGCCAAGGACUGCCCUCAGAAAGCUCAGUGGGAAAAGAAUAAGGUCUAUUAUCUUCAAUUUACUUAUGAAUGUACAUGUGUGCGUGUGUAUAUAUAUAAACUAAGUAUUCAUGUAGUCCGGAACAAUCUGUGAUGGGAUUUUCGAUGGUUGUAGAUAUGUUUGUUAUGUCGGCAACGGGGUCACAGUCUUAAAAAUUGCUCGAAGCAGAAGGACGAUUCCACCGAUAACAAGUUCUGUUAUAAUUGUGGGCAGACGGGGCAUUCUCUUGCUAAGUGUCCACAGCCUCUUCAAGAUGGUAGUAUUUUCUAUUUGACCAAAGUUUUAUUUUUCCGUAGCCCUUUACUCAAUGUUACUAGUGGCAUUUUUAUGUGUUUUGACUUACUCUUCAUUGUCAUUGCUUGUUUUAUUAUUGGUACUUAAAUUUGCUUCUUAAUGACAUUAUGUUCCAAGUUGUUAUCUCUGUCCAACUCUGGAGGUUACCACUAGUCGGUUGAUGAUAUUUCAUUCAGUGUCUGAUUUUUCACUCUCCACCGCAGCCUGGGCAGUUGGAUGAACUUUUAAGACUAAAUCAUGCCUGUACACCUAGAAAUGGGAAUUAGAGACUAAGAGAUGAAACAAAGAUAUGUGGAUAUGCAUAGUUGUACACGAUGCAGUAUCAACGAUUAUGAGUCGUGAUUUCAAGAUAAUAGAAUCUUGUAUUGGUGGUUGUCAUUCAAUCAUUUAGUGCAUUUUUUAGUAUGCUGCAUCAGAUAUACUCCCCGAGUAAAUUCAAAGAGGUUCUUGUGAACUCAUAAAUAUUUUGAGGAAAAUUAUAUCUUGGUCAGUUUACAAACUUAUAAGAUUAGAAUUCUGGAGUUUAAUGUAGGGGGAUUCAAUUAGUAAGCUUUUGGUCACCUAGUUCCUAAGUUUUUUCACCUGUUCCCAUGGUUUAAUCAAACUAAAGAGUCCUGUUCCUAAGUUUUUUCACCUGUUCCCAUGGUUUAAUCAAACUAAAGAGUCCUGCCAUGGUCUUAUCAUUGACUAUCUUCUUGAUUUUCUUCCCUUAAAAAUGCAGGAGGAACACGAUUUGCCAAUUGCUUUAUUUGUAAUGAACAAGGGCACUUGAGUAAGAACUGUCCACAAAAUUCCCAUGGAAUUUACCCAAAGGUACAUGUAUGAUGGCUUGGUGUUUGAUUGAUCAAAUAGCUGUCUUAAAAGCCAACAUUAUAAAGUUCUUUUACUUGUAGGGUGGCAGUUGUAAAAUCUGUGGUGGUGUCACACAUCUGGCUAAAGAUUGUCCUAAUAAAAGCAGCAAAGCUUCUAAUGCAGUUGGAGUAGCUGGCAAAGCACGUAAGUUGUCUUUGUAUCACAAACAUUCAUUUUGAGCUAGUAUUUUGAAAAAGUUUAUUUUGCUUCCACUCAUUCAACAAUAUUGGUUACACUCAAUGAAGGGUCAAUAUACCUUGACUAUGAUGGUGGCUGUUGCCUGGUUCCUGUUUUCCAGCAUAUAUUGAGAUUAUAUUAGAGAUACUGUAAGUCUCAGUGUGUGUUUGUGUACUAGGGUCAGUUCUCAAAAAUUUGAUCUAGUAAUUGAGAAAAUAAAUAAAACAAAGACAUGUUUUAGAGUAUUGCUACAUGUUAUAUAACAAUCAUCGACCCAUAGUCAGCUGUUAACCCUCAUGAUUUACAGUAGUUGGGCUCCACCUAAUCUUGUGCUUAAACUUCAUUGUGUUGCAAUGUGCUUUAAUUUAUUACUAUCUAAUCUCAAACCAUGAGAUUCAUCAAUGCGGUCUUGAUUAAUACAGAUACAAAUCAUGUACCAUACAACUACUCUGUUUCAUUUGUUUAUCAUAACUUUCCCUGAGAAUGAUCUUGGUUGAGGUCAAUUUAUAAUAAAACCUUUGCAUUCCUAGUUCACUCCCAGCAACCUUACUUUUCUACAAGGAUUACCUCUUCUGGAGUAGUUGUUUCAUAAGUCUAAUAAGAGAUGAAUCAAGUAGUAACUUAGUCAUAUAAAAAUAUGACAGGAAUAAAGCAGUCUAAGUUUUUUUUUAGUAUCAAGUAAGGGGACCCCCUGCCACUGGGAUGAUUCGUUAGCCUAAUGAAUAGCGAGGUUUGACCUUGUGCUUUUUUCCACUCAAGUGAGAAAUAUAAUAUGCAGUGAGCAAAACUGCCGGGAACUGUGUACAGAUGAUUUGUAGUGAAUUUGGCCUUGGCUAUUCCUUUUGUGAGUGCAUGACUUUAAAGUCAAGCUCUUGUGAACUUUUGUGGGGGAGGAAAUUGAUGCCACUUUGGGCGUUGUGUAUGCUAUAUUGUGCUUUUAAGUUCUGAUAAAUGGCUUGGUUCAUUCUCUGUUCUGAUGCAACCUAAUUUACUGUUUUGCGGUUAACAAAUACUGAUAUUUUCAAUUUUUCAUUCACGGGCAGCUGAAAUUGAAGAGAGGCCUUGAGGACAAAUCACCAGGUUUAUCAGCGGUGAUGAUCUUGAAGAUGACUUCAUGGCAGGGGAUACAUUUAGUGGUAACAAAGACACGCCCUCUGAGCCCAUGACCCCGGCACCUGAUUCAAAGCGGAACGUAAAAUUGAAGACAAGACAAGGAACCAAGGUUGUGAAUUUUGUAGGUUAAUACCUAGCAAGGUUUGGAUAACAAUAGGGCCACAUAAUCUUGCAGUUCGUGAGUCAGUUACUCCAUCUUUUACCAAGUUAUGAGAGGCAGCUAAUCAGAUUCCCACAAAUAUGGUGCUAGCCUGCACUUUUUGGUCUGUGGUUACCUGAGCACUCAGUUUGAGGCGUGCACAUCAUAUGUAUGUUAUUGAUAAAAGGUCGAAUUGAAUGAUACCAAGGGAUUGCUACUGUUUUGGCCAGAUGCAGGUGACAAGACAUGUUCUUUUGCCCCCAUUAUUAGCUAGCUAAUUGGAUACGACUUGUAUGGAAUGGGUAUAUACUUUGAAAGGAGGAUAAUAGCACCUCCCAAAAUUUUGCUGAACUUGCUGUAUGUGUUACAGUUGAGAGUUGAAAAUGCACUACUCUCCCAAGAUUUUGUUGUAACUCGUAAACAUGAGAGAGAUAAGAGCAGCGUCUCCCGUUCUUUUCAGUCGAGUGCUGUUACCUGUUACUAUGUGAAAGUUAUGCUACUAGAGAACGACAUUCAGCUAUAUGUAUAGAUCAUGGUUUACCAAAGCAAGAUCACGAUAUUCAAUGAAAUAGGCAUUUCUUUUCUGGGAUGGAAGAAAUCUGGAAUAAAAUGGAAGAGUAAAAUGGAGUAACAAAAAUGCUUAAACGUGGUCAUUGGUAAUUUAUGCUGUUGAAGUAGGUAAUCCAAAAUAUUAAGUAGAAAGUUCCAAGCUAAAGUUAAAUUGAAACCAACCGUAAUGGGGGCCCCAAAAAAAAAAAAAAUCGUAACCCGUAACCAUGAUUUCAAUUUCUUUUUGGGGCGUAAUUAUUGUGAGACAAGGGAAGGGACGAUUAGGGAGAGGAAAGCCGACGGUCAUGCAUGGCAAUUUGUGCAAUGGCUACGUGGGGAAACAAAAUAAAGAGUUUGUUGUGGACAUGAUCAGCCCAAGAGGCGAGACAAUUCUCAACCCUUAUUUUUUUCCUGGAAAUUCUAUUCUUCCCCGCAUUUUUCUCCUCUAUUAAAACUGUCAAUAUCUUCAUCAUUUCAAUUUUCAAGGAUCUCUCCUUCCUAUUGUCUCAUCGUUCUUGUUUUUCCUCUCCUCUUUCCUCUCUUCUUUUCGUUUGUUUGUAUUGCAGGGUUCCUUUACCCAUUAUUUGAAGAUUGCAACAUGGUACGUUCUAUCUUUCUCUAUCCCCUCAUUCUCAUGCAUAUUAUAUUUGGCAACUUAAACUUCCUUUGGAACACAGAAUGGUAAAUUAAUUUGUUUCUCUAUCUACCCAGAUCUUUAAAUCCAUUUUGAAAUUCUUAUCAUCGUAUGUAAAAAAAAAAAUAAAAAAUUUCAUGUUCAAUGUGUAGACAUUCGCAAAUCAUUCCCUCUAUCCAAUUAAUAAACUUUCUGAAAGGCCCUUAAAGGACUUAAUCUAGAUUGAUCAUUAUUAAUGAACCACAUUUUAAUUGUUUGAUACGAUCCCCUAGAAAUGUGAAAGAAGCUACCAAUGUAUUCACCCUCCUUGUUAAAAAUAAGAAGAGAGGGACAUAUAAGAAUGGCUAGGCGAUGUUCAAGGAGGUAACAAAAAGAAAAUGGAGAUUUGUUCAUGUAAACACGUCCUGUUUCUUAUGCUAUUUUUUUUUUUCAGAAUUAGAGCCCAAAAUCAGGCUAAUUUCGUAUCUGUUGAGAUUUAUGGCAGUGAAAUUACUUUGUUCAUCAAAAAAAAAAAGAAAAGUUUAUGAUAUACCGUUAUCAAAUGUGAUUUUUCUCCAACAUUUGUCAAUUAAUAUGAGCUGUUGCGUUUCGUAAUCUUUCCAAUUAUGAAAACAUUUUUGACAGGCGAAUGCUACAUCUGGAAUGGCUGUGGAAGAUGAGUGUAAGCUGAAGUUUUUGGAGUUAAAAGCCAAGAGAAACUAUCGUUUUAUUAUUUUCAAGAUAGAGGGUCAACAGGUGGUGGUGGAGAAGCUUGGGAGUCCUGAAGAAAGUUAUGACGAUUUCACUGCUUCUCUGCCAGCCGAUGAGUGUCGCUAUGCUGUGUUUGAUUUCGAUUUCAUCACCGACGAGAACUGCCAGAAAAGCAAGAUUUUCUUCAUUGCUUGGUAAGGUCUUUAGCCAACCUCGUUGCCUUUUUUUCGUUCGAAGCCAUUUCAAAAACCCGCAAGACUUCAUUUGCUAAAUACAUCUUUCGAUCCUGAAAACUUCCAUAAACUAUUUUUGAUUGUCACUCAUUGAACAGUACAAUUCAGACGCACGUAUCUUGUUAGUAUUUUUUUUUUUGACGUGUUGAAGUUACAAAAGUUGUAUGGCGUGAUGCAAUAAUUAGGUCCCCAGACACAUCGAAGGUGAGAAUGAAGAUGGUUUAUGCGAGCUCAAGGGAUAGAUUCAAGAGAGAAUUGGAUGGGAUUCAAGUGGAAUUGCAGGCAACAGAUCCUAGUGAGAUGAGCUUUGACAUUAUAAAAGGACGAGCACUCUGAAUAUAUCACCUUCACUUGAUCGCCAUCACGGAGACUCGGACUCUUUUUCUAGUACUAUAAUUCCCAAGCAAUGUUAUCGAUUCGUCUUCCCUUUUUUUUCUUUCUGUUCUUAUUUUUGUUUUGGUUCCCUCAAUUCAAAACUAAAACGUGUAGUGUAAUGUAAUAUUAUUGCAACCACUGUGUAAUUUGAGAUUCAUAGUCUUAGCCUAAUAUACAUUGGCUUGUAACAGCCUUGAUCAGCUCACUUGAUUGUGAAUUCCUGACCUGCUCUCUACGGAGGAACACAUCAAAUUACCAACUCAUGCCUUGUUUAUAGAGAGAGCACAAUUUAGAACGAUAAACAGAUAUUAACUGGACGUGAAUGUUUAAUACACACACACACACACACACACACACACACACACACUCUAUAUAUAUAUAUAUAUACUAUAUAUAUAUAUAUAUAAAGCAGUGAGAGCAAAAGAUCUCAUUUGAAGUUUCAAAACAUUCUUCGUUGCAAAAUACUCCUGAUUUUCCUUGUACUACAGUCACAAUCUUUAGGUUUGAAAGUUGUCCUCAAUGCAUGCGGGGCGAGAUGAUUAACCCAUCCUAUAUGGACAAAUUUCUUUUGUAAGUUUGACCGUGGGCCUAUUCCCGUGUAAUUAUUUUGACUGAAUUUAGAUUUGGAUUUAGGAUAAACUUUUUUUCCCCGCUUUGCUGUUGCAUCUUUUAAUAGUUUUUUUAAACAGUUUAAAAAGAUAAAAUCUAGAAUAUACCCAAAAGUAGUUUUAAGUGAUCUGAUUUUGCUAAUCAAUUUUGACAAAAUCAACAAUGAACGAGAACAAACUGCCGAGUGGUUUUGGUGAACGAGAAGCCAAAUUUUGGGAAUGUAUUUUGAAAAGCGAGUGAUGCAUAACAAUUGUUAUCUAUGCCUCGAGACGCAGAGCCAGCAAACAAGAUGAUGGCAUGAAUUAACUGUACGUGCUCAUCUUUGAGUUUUCCAGUACUGUUUUUCCCACUUCUGUACUUGCUCUAUCGAAAUUUCUUUUCUCUGCAAAACUGAACGAAGAGUAGCAGGAUCAUAAGGAGGAGGCAUAGUACAUGGAGGCACCCCAGAGGGUCCUGCAGCAAAAGAAUCCAUCAUGUACUUCUUAAUUAAUCCCUCCGCUGGGCAGGCCAUUGACUCUGAACACAGCUCUACUGCUUGUCGAGGAACAGUUGGCUUGUACGUUAGAAGCUUACCAUACUCUGCCAACAGCUGAUACAUGUAAUCGUACACAUACUUCAUGUUUAAUUCCUCCUGAAUAAAUCUACUUGCUGCCUUGCCAAUAGCCUGUGCCUGUAAUAUCCAUGCAUAGACGCGUAUCUGUUAGAAAGCGUAUCAACUUUGAAGCUUGAUACACUGAUCAAACACCAUGUCAAGACUGGAAUUAGUUCAUAAUCAAAGUUAAGGGCAUACCUCUUGCUGAUGGCUAUUGCCCCAGUCGACUGCAUACUUGAUUGAUCUGCCCAUGGUAUCAUCUCUUAUGGGCCAAUAGUGUUGCAAUGGCAUCAAACUUCUUGUGAAGAAAUCAUAGUAAUGUUGCUUCACUAUCAGAGUAAGAGAAUCACAGGCAAGAAUGUAUUUUUCGCUCACAGACCAUCCGAUUCCUUCUAUAUAAAUUUUGUAUCUGUUCGGUUCAUUCAAGGGAAAAGGAGAGAAGGUCAAAAUCAAAAUUCACUCGAUCUGGCAUAGAGCAGCAUAAAAUUAAUGGAGAGCCUGAGUGCCCAGCUUCCACAGAAAUGACAGCUGGAAUGAUUGAGGAGCUAGAAAAUGAGCAAAAAUGUUCGCUUGUCAUUUUCAUCUUGUACCUGUGUUUGCAUUGGUUUGCUAAAUCGGAAUUUUUGAAACCUUCCUUUUGUUCUCGAUGCCAGUCCUGUAAACUAUAACUUGUUACAGACUGCCAAUGGGCCAUAAAUUUCAUAUGCAGGAGUACCAUUCAGCUAAUAAGUUUUUGUAUUUUCUUUCUUUCUAUAAUGCUUAUGAAUUACGGGAUAAAAGAAAAUCUGGGCACCUAAAUUCUAAUUCAAAGAUGAAACGGAAAUCUUGAAAACGAUAUAUACACUUAGGUUCAAAAGUAGAAUGUGGGAUAGCAUGCAAUAUUCAAAGAAUUAUGUGGCUAUGGUCAGCUAUAGUAAAGAUCAUCGGAUUUUAAUACCCGUCAGAACCUGCGGCCUAGUAGGUAAAUCUUUGAGGGAGACAAAAUCGAACAUUGAAAAGGAUGAACCAGAUUCCAUCACAUGUAUCAUCUGCCUAAAAUGGUUUUGGAUACACAAUAUAUGCAGUAUCUAUUACCUGAGCAUAAAUGCGCAGAUUCCAGUCGUGUUCAUCCGAAAGAUUGCACCUGAGCAAAUCCAUCCUCUUUGGUGAAACAUGAGGAUUGCCCUUCCAAAAUGCCAACGGUUCUCUGUCCAUCCAUUUUCUUCUUUCAUUCGCUUCUUUUAGGUCCUUGGACAAUGGUUCCCAUGGCUUUAUAUUAAUUUCUGGCCUGAAACAUUGAAAGUUUUUACCAGUAUCAAUAAAAAGGAAAGGUUCGUAUCAAUUUAAAUAAGCAUUAAAUCUGCUCUCUUUAGAGCACUUCUAAGGAUGUGAAGUCCUUAAUGAAAAAUUCACCGCAUGUAGUUGCAACAUGCUAGAUUUAUAGGUAAUCAAGAGAUUUAGAGAUAUAUUCCAACUCUCAAUUGCGUUAAGUAAUCGACUCGCCAUACUUGGGAAACAAAAUCAGAAGCAGCGGCUACACUUUUGGGUCAGUUUCGGGGCGGGGAGCCGAAGAGAGACCAGAAGAAUGAUUCAUUUGGAUUUCUGUUUCUGUCGCGACUGACGAAUCACAGUACAUAUCCAGUACAUGCUACCUUAACACCAUUAGUUAAGAUUACUAAAAAGUGGAGGAAAUGCUUACCAUCCCCAGAACGACCAAUCUGGAAAGACAAUGUCGAAGGUGGCAUCAUCCCCGUCAUAACUGAAUAAAGGUGGCGGUGCCUUAGCAUUGGCACUGGGGUAAUAUUCUCGCACAAUAUUGGGGCGAUCACCGCAGGUGAAUAUGAGGUCCAAAUCAGGCAGUCGGCCAGGGUGCCGCCGCAGCAACUGUAAAAUCCCCCACUGGGUAAAGAUGUCUCUAGUCUGAAACGAAUGCUUAUACGUUUCGACAUAAGCCGUGCCAUUCACUAUCACCAACCGGAAAGCAGCAUUCUUAUCCUUGGCUGCCUCAACCAUCUCCGGCGUGAUUCCCGUCUUUCUCCAAGGCAAUAAAUCUUCGUGUAUCCAACGGAAGUAUUCUGGGCAUUGGGGUUGCUGGGCCACUGCUUCUGACUUCUCGUAAAAAUCUUGUGAUGAGUAUUUUGAUGGGUAGUAAUUUGUUGGGCAAGUUUUUGUAACGUUAGCAAGCGAGCAAUUCAGGCGGAAUUCGGUUCUAUUCCUGUGCAACUUUUUCCCCGCGGGAUGAGUGUAUUUGUAAAAUGGUAUGCGGGGGAGUAUUGAUUUCUGCUGGAAAUUUCCAGCAAUUGACUGCAGAAUAUAAUAUUGAAUGUAAUGUAAAAGUCAGUACCAAUCAAUCAAAAUCUUAAAGGUAGCGUGUGGAGAAUAGAUUAAAAGGAUAAGACACAAGGAAAGGUACAGGGCACCGUUUUUCAAAAGCUAUGAGCGAUUGACCAAAGACUCCCUUCUCGCAUUUACUUCCAAUCUUUUUUCUUUCUUUGAAUGAUGUUAUGUCAUUGUGGAAAUUUUCAUUAAGGUACAAAACUCAUUUGUCAAAGACAUAUCAAUGGAAAGAUCCUCGAUUGCUAUCUUUUUCAGUACUAUUUGCAACUCUUGGAUAAUGUUGUCUAUUAUUAAUUAUAUGAGUUAAUUUUGUAUAUAUUGAUUAUGCAUAUACUAGUGAUAAGGGUUUGUUUGGAUAGUGUAUUAUUUGAAAUAUUAUUUGGAAUAAUUACUGUAGCACUUUUUGUGAUGUGAUGUAUGUGAGAUAAAAAAUAGUUGGGAAUAUAAAAAAGUAGGUUGGAAAAUGUGUUUGUGAUGCAAGCGAAAUAUUAUUUGGGAUAAUUUUGGUAUCCAAAAUGUGUAUAUAUUAUUGGCGUUUUAACAAAAAGUAGAUAUUAGUGGCUAUAUGUGCAUGCCACAUAAUUUUAUGGAAUUUUCUCACCAAGUUAAACACUUAAGAAUCACCUAAUAAUAAGUGAUUCUUGUAUGUCUAAGUUGGUUAUAUCCUAUUUUUACUCAUUAAAUUGAUAUAUUGAUUGAUUUUCAAAUUACCAAGAUGCCAAAAGUAAAAUAUAUUUCUCCAUAUAUUGAAUGAUUUCAGUAUUUAAUUCACAGGGAUGAUAAAGUCCUCCUACAGUUCUGUUUGUAGUUGUGACAACUGACAAAUGUCGCUCAUUAUUUUGAAUGCUCUUGUCUAUUCAAUAAUAAUAAAAAUAAAAAAAAAAAGAAUGAACUUCCACAGACAGUUCCUUUGGAGUUGUGGCAAAUGUCAUUCAAAUUUUAGUGGCACAAAAAAAAAAGAAAAAAAAGGGAGUGGAUAUAGCAAAAGGAAACAGAAAAACAAAUAUUCAUCAAUGGUAAGAAAAUUGAGGCCAUUAUUUUCAAUCAAUUACAUACCCGUUAUGGGUUUUGCCUUAUUUUCUACUUAUAGUUAUUGUAUACGGUUUGUCCGACGAGCGUCCAUAUAUAGAGCACUCGUUAAGAUAUCUUUUAGGUGUUAUAUUUUUUGAAAAUAUAUGAUUAAUUAGAGAAAAUAAAUAAAUACAAGACAGGGUAGACAAGAUUAAAUAUGAAAAGUAUAUAAAUACAAGAGAAAAUAAUAAUUAUAGAAUGUGUAUAUAUAUGAUAAGUUAGUUGAAUACUAGGUGUAUUAACGAGUGCCCUAACGGCACCCACCUGUUAGAAAAACCCUGUGUGGUUUAGAUGUAGUUAUUUCUUAAAAUAAGGAAUAACCUGAAUAAAAAGUCAAGAAGUGAAUAAAGGCAUCCAAUAAUUUAAGAUACAAUGAACUUCAGUCAAUAUAAAUCCCCAAAAGCAUCUGUACAAGAGUAUAGUUAAGGCAUAAAUCAACUCCAAGAUACUGUGGUGUUACACCACAACUCCUAUAACAACUCUUUUUGUAUAUAUAACUUAAGUUAUUAGGUAAAUCCGCAUACUCAUAUAUGUUGUCUCUUAUAUUUAGAUUCUUAAUUUUUCGAAUUAGAUAUAAAUCGUUUAAAAGUCUUAGAAAAUGAAAUAAAGUACGGUUUAAUUAUGAGCCAUUGGUGGAAGACUUGAUUAACGAUUUUAAAAGGAUACGCAUGUAGUAGAUUUUCUUUCCCUUAUACGUAGUUGUAGAUCAUAAUCUCAAUAUUGACAAUAAUUGUAAUUGUAAACUGACUGCAUGUAUAUUAUAGUCAAUAUUAUUGACUAAAAUGUAAUCUUGUUGUAACUUGUAAACGUUCAAUUAGCCAAAAAAAACACACGUUAAUUUUUUUUUUUUUUUUGGGUUCCUUCAAGUCAAGAAAAUAUGGGAGAGUGGUGUCAGGUGUGAGAGGAGGGCAAGACAGAAAGAGAUCAAAGAGUAUAAGCCGUAAAAGUGAGAAAGAAGUUUAGGCACUCACCGAAGAAUCGAUCAAACGCGUAGAGAGGAAUGCGGUAAUGCAGAGAAUGAUUAAAAACAGCAUGGCCAACGAAGAUCUCACCAGAGUAACUUCGGAUUUCCAUGGAAGUAAUAUCUUCUCCGUGCAGUACCUGUAUACCCCUAAUCCCUUGAGAAUACCCUGCAUCCGGCCGGCAACUUCCUCUCUCAUCUUCACUUUCUUCUUUCGUCCUUGUUGGAUUUAUUACGUAUAUCUCCGCAACCAAGUAUAACUUGCUCACUACCGAAUGAACUGGUUUACCUUUGCUUUACACCGCUUUGAUGUAUGUGAACCUGAUAACCUGCAGGUCCAUAAUAUUUGGUGGGGGUACGUAUAACACCAUAUGCUGUCAACUGCUUCGCAUGGCGAGAUGCUUUUUAACUUUAAGCAGUGACAGACACAAGAGAGUUGGGACGAAGCCUUGGAUCGAGGAGAGCUAUAAACUGUUUACAAUAAAGAAAACACCCUGGGUCUAUUGAGAAACUAGGGGAGGAGGAGGAGGGGAUGCAUACAAUUUCCACACAAGGAAAAAACUGCGUCCAUUGAGAAAUUUAUGGAGGAGGAGAGAGAUAACGACGACAGUCAUAGAAAGAAAAAAAUCUGAUUCUAUUUGGUAAGAGUAAGAAAUUAAUAGAGGAAGACGGUGUCUUAUUGACUGAUUUUAUUUAAAUAAUAAUUAAGACGGUAGAGAAAUUAAGAUGGAAGGAAUUGAGUUGUGGCCGUUUGAUAAGGGAUGAAAACGGCAACUAGAACUAGAGAGAAAGUAAGGGAAAAGGUCGUUUAGGAGGAACAAGUAUUACCAUAAAAAUUCAUACACUAACAAGUAUCACAGUAUCUUUGCAUUUAUAUGUAUAUAUAUAUACAUAUUUUUUCAAAUUAACAUUAUUUUUUAAAAAAUAUAUCUUAUGGACACUCGUUAGGCAGAUCGCUCUUGUAGUUUUAGAUAUACGAAUAAACUUAGUACGUACAAAAUUGGGGAACAGCACAGCACGAUCAAAAUAAUACUCUAUAAAGCGACGAGAUUCUUUAUUAGGAUGGAAUUAUGAACAAACUCAUCGGGCAGCAUCAGGUAGAGAAGGCAUACCGAAAUCAUGACGGCAUUAGGUAGAGAAGGCAUACAAAAUAUGUAGUAUUUCUUUCUGCCACUCUUAUUGAAAACACACGUUUGACAUUCUGCAGCGCCUCUAUAGGUAGAUAAGUCCUUUAAUUAAUAACCUCAAAGAAAUCGAUUUUUGAUAUUUGAUUUAGCAGGGUAAUAAUAAAUAUAUAUAUAUAUAUAUAUAUAUAUAUAUAUAUAUAUAUAUAUAUAUAUAUAUCAAAAAGGAAUACAGGACUAUCAAAGUGAGACGGAGGGAGUAAUUUUUACGCUCAUCCCGGUGUUUCUAUUGAAUAUUUGACAUGCUACCGACGCCUAUUGUAGUAAAAUCACACAAUUUAUUUAUUUAUUUUUUUAAAAAGCAGGAUAACAGAAGAGGGCACCAUUUUCAAAACAAUUGAAACAUGAAAGCCCCACCAUCAAAUAUGCUUAAUGAUUAAAGAUUUUGACAAAAAAAAUAAAAAUAAAAAUAUGAUUAAAGAUUAAAACCACGUUGCAACGGCAAAUGAUGUCACAGCCGAAAUUUCAUAUCUGCAGCUAUGUUUGUUGUUGAUUAAAAUGAUAAAAUUACGCCUUUCAAGUCCAACUUGCAUUUUGGUUUAAUAAGGAGGACAAGUUUGAGCAUUUAUUACAAGAAUAUUAUAUAUAGCUGUAGAUAUAAAAUUUGAACCGUGGAAACAUCUCUCACUAUGACUAAAAGUAAAAGGGAAGCAUCCCAAAUGGAACGGAAGUAGCAGGGUGGACCUGGAAACCGCAUAGAAAUAUAUAAAGUUAAGUUGGCCCUUAAUGGCAGAUGCAGUCAUUUUUUUUGGCAAAACCGGUUUCUGCAAAUCCUCUUUGUAUUGCGCACGUUUGCACAGGAAUUUUUUUUUUUUUUUAAUAAAAUUUUUGACAGAUGCAGGGAAAUUGAUGAUGACAAAUUAACCAGCUGAAGAAGAAAAACAUGUCGGCCCGUCUAAUUAAUUGUGAUUGGUUUGAGUAUCCCAAUACUGUUUUUCCCACGUCUCUACCUGCUUUAUUAAAUCUUCUUUUCUCUCCAAAAUUGAAUGAAGAGUAGGAGGGUCGUAAGGAGGAGGCAUGGUGCAUGGAGCUGCCUCAGAGGGACUCGUAACAACGGAAUCCACCAUAUAUUUCUUCACCAAUCCAUCAGCCGGACAGGCCAUUAACUCGGAACAAAGUUCAAUUGCUUUCGGAGGAACGCUUGGCUUGUAUUUCAGAAGCUUAGCAUACUCUGUCAAGAGGUGAAACAUGUAAUCAUACACAUAUUUCAUUUGCAGCUCCUCUUGUACAAAAUGGCUUGCUGCCUUGCCAAUGGCCUGUGCCUGUGAUAUAAAACCUUGCUCUUGAGUUGGAUGAUAAAACUUGUUGCCUAGAAAUUGACUAGCAGAUUGUAUGAUCAGCACAGCAAGAAUGGCGGCCUUAAAUGAAUAGAAGGCCAACUAAUUUACCUCUUCCUGAUGGGUAUUGCCCCAGUGAACAGCAUACUUAAUUGAUCUGCACUUGUCAUUCUCUCUUAUGGGCCAAUAGUGUUGCAGAGGUAUCAAACUUCUUGUGAAGAAAUCGUAGUAACGUGGCCUGACCACUAAACUAACAGAGUCACACGCAAGAAUGUACUUUUCGCUUACGGACCACCCAAUUCCUUCGAUGUAGAUUUUAAAUCUGUAUCAUUCGUGCAAGGAUGGAACUAAAUCAAAGUUUACUUACCUAACCAUACUUACAAGAUAGUGUAAUAAACAUGGUUCACAAUAUCCGCCGAUACCGAUACGUAUCGGCCGAGUCGUAAUUGGAACGGAGGGGAUUGGUACGAUACUGAUUUCUGAAUCGCGGAUAUGGUAAUAUCUGCGACAACUCGUUCUGACUCGGCCGAUAUUGGCCGAUUCGAAUCCGUGAUACAUGAUAUCGGCCGAUAUAUCCGAGUCAACUCAGAGUCGAUUUAGAUAUUUUUUCAAAUUGUGCAUUUUUUGAUAUUUUCUAAUUGUAGUAAUUUUUUCAAAAAUUUUGGAAACUUUUAUGUACUAUAAUGUGUGUAUCAACCGAUAUGUCGCGACGAAUGUGGAACAAUCGAGACCGCGAUGCAAUCGCGACUCGCGACGGCGAACCAUGGUAAUAAAUGACUAAAUGAAUGCAUUGUUGUUUUAGUCGAAGGAUUUACUUGUUCUUACCUGUGAAUGCAUUGGUCAGCUAAGUUAGAAUUUUUGAAACCCUGUCGUUGUUCACGAUGCCAGUCCUGUUGAUUCAGUGUAAAUAUUAAUAAUCAGAGUUGAGUCCUUUGCCCACGUAUUCAAGAAACACAAGAUUCUACAGAUUGGUGGUUAGCUUUUCUUUCUUUUCUUAUCCCCGAAUGGAGGAAAUUUGUAACAAAUUUUAAAUUUAUAGAUAAUUAAACGUCAGGCCCACCUUUCAUUCUCUACCCAGAAUUGAAGAACCAUAAUUAAAUACAGUACAGUACCUGAUAAUAGAUACGGGCAUUCCAAUCUUGCUUGCCCGAGACAUGGCAAUUGAGUAAAUCCCUCCUUGAAGCCGUAAGUCUAGCGUUGCCCUUCCAAUAUGCGUGUGCUUCCCUGUCCACCCAUCGCAUCCGCCGGUUCCCUUCUUUUAGCUCCUCGGACAAUUGCUUCCAUGGCUUUAUAACAAUUUCAGGCCUAGCCAUUUAUUUGUUCCAAUACAUAUACAAACGGUAGACUGUAAACAAAAACAAUGCUGUGUUUCUGACUCUUAGCCAAGUUAAUAGUAGUAUAAUUUAAAACUUGAAAUGCUUACCAUCCCCAGAAUGACCAAUCCGGGAAAACAAUGUCGACGGUCGAAUCAUCUCCGUCGUAGCCGAACAGCGGUGGUGGGGCGGUGGCGUUGGAUUUGGGAUAACAUUCUUUAACAAUACCCGGCCGGUCCGCGCAGCUGAAUACGAGAUCCAAGUCGGGCAAUUUACCCGGGUACCGCCGUAGCAACUGUAAAAUUCCCCACUGCGUGAAAACAUCUCUCGUCUGAAACGACCUUCUAUAAGUCUCCACGUAAACCGUCCCAUUCACUAUAACCAGUCGGAAGUCUGCCCUUCUUUUAGCCGCCUCCACCAUGUCUAGUGAAAUUCCAGUCUCCCUCCAGGGCGACAGGUCUUCGUGGAUCCACCGGAAGUAAUCUGGGCAGGCCUCGGGAGCGGCCGCGUCUUCAUCUCGUGCUGAAAGAUUUGGUGGGUGGUAAGUUGUUGGGCAAGUUCGUGUGCUGUUGGUAACAGCGCAAGUCAAUGGGAUUUCAAUCGGAUUCCUCCUGGGCUUUGUCCAUGGAUCAUGAAGAGGGUAUUUUGAAAAUGUGACGCCACUGAAUAUUGAUUUUCGAGAGUAAUUCCCUGCAUUCCACUGAAACACAUUUUCAAAUUACCAAAUACGAGAGAUAUCACAAGCCAAAAGGUACUUGAAAUAAACAAACGAAUCAUCCGAUCUAGGAUUUCUUGGCAGUAAUAAUAUCAGUUUAUACUUGCAAGAUACGUUUAAUUCCAAAAAAACAAAAAAAAGCUUGUAAGUCGAACCUUCAUGGGUCAAAUUCUUACAUUAAUACUCAUUCUAAUUUGGUGCAGUAUGGUACUAAAAAAAUCAAGGGAACUCAUACUAAUUUUUUACACUUACAAUAGUCAGUAUGGUACUAUGACCUUUGCCGACUAUGACAAUAACAAUUCUGUCAAAUAAAUAUUAUUAAUGCGAGGUCAUGAAUAACAACAAAAGGCGGGAUGGGAUGUCCUGUUCGUUGAGAACGAUCUCAUGGUUUAAAUAAAUGCCAGCCAGGGCCAUGUCCGCUUCUUCUCUUCUGUCGGCGGCAACCUGUACGAGAAUAUACUUGAUUUCUAAUGCUUACUUCCACAAUCCUUCUCUCACUCUUGACGCUCCUAAACGCUUUAGAAAUGAAGCGGAAAUUCUAUUUGAGAGUCAAAUAUAUACGAGAGAAUGUUUACAACAGAAAACCAAAAAAAAAGGUGCAUGAAAGAUUAGAAUUCCAUAGCAAAUGAAAAAUAAGUGGCAACAACGAGAGUAAAUUCCGAAAUUAUUUUGGGAAUUUCUUCGCUAAGUUUCUUCUUCUGGCAAUCCACCUUCUCCACCCAAAUGGAAGACUGUGUGUGUUAUCCCAGAAGAGGCUGCAAGGAUCUGACUUCCGUUUGGUGCUGUACUGUACUGAUUCAACUCGGACUAAUUUACUGAACAUUAGAAAAAGCUUAAAAUGUCCAGCAGGAUCAGUUUCUCUCUUGAAAAAAGAAAAAGAAUGAAAAGAUCCAGAAGUGCGAAAAUCAUGUACUAAGUUAAUACAGAGAUAAUUACCCUGAAGUCGAGCAAGCGUGCCGAGAAGAAAGCCGCAAUGCACAGAAUGAAUAAGAAUAAUGUAGCCAGAUAAGAUAAGCAGCGACGUUGGAGAAUCCCUUGCAGUAAUGCUGCCGAAUCUCUCAUCUUUGCAUUGGCCAAAUAAAUGCGUCUCCAACUUCCUCUUCUAGCCUAGAGAGCAUUGACUAGAUGCAUCUCUGCCCCGCUCUUGAAGAAGGCACUGAUUCAGCAUUGCAAUACCAGCUGAUCGAUAGCUGAUCUUGGCAACUAUUAGUAAGAAAUUCGACUAGUCGUUGUUUUGAUUGCAAAGACAGAAAGCCUUAGCUUUCACAUGGCCAAAGCGUUUCUUGAGCAGAAAGCAUGGUUUUGGAGUUGCUAAUUAAACAAACAGAGAGCUGAAGAUGGAGCAAACAAAUGCGCCGUGAACGAGGGAGGAGCAAAUGAAUAUUGUGUAAAGUGUACUGUUCACGUUGACCUCGCAUUGCUUGGAAGUGCGGGCUAACUAUGUAGAAUUUCACAAUAACUUGAUGAACUAGCCAUUAAAUUUUCCUGAAAUAUUUUAUUGGCUCGAUGAUUUUCUUUUCUUUUCUUUUCUUUUUUUUAAUAAAAAAAUUGACUAUUUUAUGAUCGAAACUUUCAGCUGUUUAGUUCGCCAGUUUUUGUCUAUCAUGUCAAAUGAAAUGGAAGAGAUCAUGAUGUAGUUACACACUUCAGAGUGGACCCCUAGGAAAUUUUCUUAUCAGCAAUCACCAAAUUGCAAGAACAAAUCAGAUGUUGGAUUAGGAGUCGUUAUCAAUCCAAGUAUAGCAUUUGCCUAUUUUGAGGUUUUUCAUUAGGAUAUACAACUUUGACACUUCUUUCUGAAGCUUCUCGUUUCUCUAGAAUUUAAAACUUCAAUCUGACGAAGUAUAUAUAUCCUUAAAGGCGAAAGCUUCUCUCUCCCUCUCGUUCCGUGAACACAUUUUCCUAUCACCUUUUUAUCUCACAUACAUUAAAUCGCUACAGUAAUUUUUCUACAAAAAAUCCAGAAAAAUGCAAUCCAAACACAGUAGUACUAUCUACUUCUUUCUGUCAGGAUGAAGAAAAAGAAAGCUGGCCAUUGGAGGAGGAGGAAAAAUAUUUUGAUCCUAAAAGCUUCCUUUGAGGACACUGAAACUUUUCUAAGAAUAUAACUAAGUAAAUAAUUUUAUUGGAGAAGGGUACUGUGUUUGUAUAUUAGAUUGUUUGAGAUAUUUUUUUUGAAAAAAAAAACACUGCAACACUUUUCUAAUUUAAUGUAUGUGACAUAAAAAUGUGAUUGAAAAAUAUAUUGAUGAUACAAACAAAUAAAAUUUGACAAAUAAUCUACUACCCAAACAAACCAGCAAUUGAAAAACUGAUGAAGCUUUUCUGGUCAAACCAGUGGUAGGCGUGGAAUAAAAUUUUAACAAAGUUGUUGGACAAGGGGCAUGACAAGAUAAUACUACUAUUGAUAUCAAAUUGUUGAUGGAAACGUGAAAGCUUUAUAAAUCACUAUAAGUUGCCAACUUGUGAUGCACUCUUGAUUUUCUUAUGCUUUUUUUUUUCUAAUUAUUGUUAUUAUUUUUGGUAGGGUAUGCUAUUGUGCCACGAAGCGUAGCUAAGCAGAUCAUAGAGCAAACAAAGUCAGGGGAGGCUAGUUUGAAGUUUCUAGAUGUUAUAGUUACUCAUUUUGUAUUUGAAGAAUUUGAUUCUAGUUCAUUGAAAACAAUUGAACCAAACUCCUGGCGACAAAUUUUAAUCAGCUACCCUCUUCUCUUUUUUUUUUUUUUUUUUUUCCUUCUUUUUAUUCAGAAAAUGAUGAAAGAUUACUCAAUUACUCAUCAACAAUGGUAAGAGGAAAGUUUCUUUGACUGGGAACUGCCAAACUUUGCCAGACCUGAUUCGGUCCAGCGCGCGUCGCGUUGCCGCUGCUUCUCGUUAGUCGGUGAGGACCGAGCAUAGGGAGGUGCCCUUGCCAAACCUUUAGGGCUAAAAGGUUGACCUGGUCGCAAAUUCUUGCAGUGGUAACUAAUAAAUUAGUACAACAGGUCCCAUUGGAGCCCGUAGCAUGCCCUGAGUUUAGAAUGCAUUUACUUCUAACACAAAUUGAAUUUGAUUUUGUAACGUGAGGUGCAUAUAUUACAAGGAAAUGAGAAAUUUGCCUUAAAUUAAGCUGAUUUUUUUUUAAAAAAAUUUCCUAAUAAGGAAAGGAUAUAAUUUAAGAAGUCGAGCGGGGGAAAGAAGAUUACAACCUAAAACCUCUAAAUUUUGAAACCUUUGGUUUAAUCAUUAGAUCAAAACAUUCUCAGCAUGCUAAAUUAAAUAGAUAAUUCAACUAUUUUGGCUAAAAAAAUGAAUACUUGAUGGAAUCUUUAUCCGCAAAUCAUAAUUCUUAUUUAUUUUGUGGAGGUUAUAUCGUUUAUAUCUACAUAUGUGUAAUUUCGUGUUUUCUCCCUAAUUAUUGGUUUCAUUAAUGGCACAUGAUAUGUCAUUUUUUGGGCAAUAUUUGCAAUCUAAAAUAAUUAACUCGAAUCCAGUUUCAAGUUUAAAAACUUUACUGGCCAGAUUAAUCCAACUAGACAACAAAAGGGAAAGAAAAAGUGAUAGAAAGGAUAGAAAGAAUAGACAUUUCAUGAAAGGAUAGAAAGAAAACAUAAUACGCAUAAACCUAAUGCGUAUAACACAUAAGAUAACAUGAUACGCAUAAAAAAGAGAGAGAGAGAGAGAGAAAGAAAAACAUACGUUUAGGUAAUAAAAAAAAAAAAAAAAAAGAAGAAGUGCAACUAAGUAUGCUUCUUUUGAGUCUCCCAAUAUUGUUUUUCCCAGGCCUCGACUAGUUUUGUUGUGUUCCGUUUUGUCUCCAAAAUUGAACGAAGGGUUUGAGGAUCAUGAGGAGGCAUGGAGCAGGGAGGGGAAUCAGAGGGACCUUUGAUCAUACUGUCCAUCAAAUACUUCUUCUUCAAUCCGGCCGUGGGGCACGCCAUCGACUCCAAACAAAGUCGAACCGCUUUUGCGGGAACAACAGGCUUGUACUUGAGAAGCUUAGCGUACCCAUUCAAGAGAUGAAACAUGUAGGGUCUGUUUGGUUGGAAGUAAAAUGUUUUCCUUGGGAAAAUAUUUUCCGUGGAAGUAAUUUUCCAUGAAAAUCAUUUUCCUUUCAUCAUUUUCAGGUGUUUGGUUAGCUUAUUGAAAUAUUUUCUUACUUCAUUUUUCUGAUGUUUGUUUAACUUUUGAAAUAUUUUCACUUUUAUCUCUAUCUUUACUUUCUACACAUUAUAACUACAUACUUCUUCCCAUGCAAAAUAAGAAAAUUUAUCUCAUUGUUUAACUUUAAAAAAUCUUGGAGAAAUGUAUAUAUGAAUAAAAAAUAUCUUCUUAAGCAAUAAACAAAUUGCUGGCCAUUUAGUGUCAAAUAUCAAUCACAUGCAAUGCUUAUUGUGACAUAUAUCUUGCACUCUCACUGCUAAAAGUUUCUCUAGAAAAGAAUGUCCCUAUUAUACAUAAUUAAUUACUAGUAUAGGAUGAACAUGAUGAGAUUUUUUUUUUAUUUUGAAUAUACUAGGGAGAGGGUUGGGUGGUACGGGGGAGGGAGUGUAAGGAAGAGGUCUUGGGUUUGAGUCAUCCUGUUUACACUAAAAAAAAAAAAAGAACAUACUAUAAGAUGUUUUCAAUAAGUUUGGAACAUACUACAGGCGGGAUGCAUGCAUUUCGGAAAACAACUUCAGUAAGUUUGGAAGGGAAGUUGUUUUCCAUAAGAUGAGUGAAAAUAUUUUACAUAGGAAAAUGUUUUCAGUAACUUUUGUGCAACCAAACACGGGAAAUUAGGAAAAUAUUUUCCUGGAAAACAUUUUCACCUGAAACAAACGGACCGUAGUAAUCGUACACGUUUUCCAUUUUCAUUUCUUCUUGAACGAAUUUGCCAGCUGCCUUGCCCAUGGACUGUGCCUGCACUGGUGCAAGCGUGAUUGGAAGUAGUUUUUUUUUUUUUUUUAAGUUUAAUAAACUAUCUUAUGAGUUGAAUAUCUGAAAACAUUCGCAUAGGAGAAGUUGAGAAUGGAUUAAAGGAGAGAUUAAAUUACUUCAUCCUUGCGGUGGUUGCCCCAUUCAACAGCAUACUUGAUAGACCUGCACUUGUCAUUACCUCUUAUAGGCCAGUAGUGUUGCAAAGGCAUCAAACCUCUGGAGAAGAAGGUGUAGUAACGGGGACUCACUCGUAAAGUAACAGAAUCACAGGCAAGAAUGUAUUUUUCACUUACUGACCACCCAAUUCCUUCCAUGUAGAUUUUAUAUCUGCAUGCAUGGUUCGAGCAACGGAGGAGACAAAUCAAUACUUGCGCUGAGCAUUUUACUUUUAGCAUUCACAAUAUAAUACAGGGACAAAGUCCCAGCAGCCACUUCCAAAAUUUUAGAACAGCAUACACUGAUCUGCAAAACUCUUUGAGUACCAGCACUGCUUGCACAUGAAGCUGUAAUAUACCUGUGGCGACAUUGAUUUGCAAAACUCGCUCCUUUGAAACCUUGCUUCGAUUCUUGACCCCAAUCCUGCAAAAAUCUUUUAAACAUGAACCUCUAAUUAAUGAAGAAGAUGAUGAAUCGUUCACAACUAGAACAAGAUUACUCUAUCUGUUACCUUAACUCCAAUGCGAUUUCCUUUUAAAAAAAAAAAAAAAAAAAAAUGGAUGUGUUAGUUUUAUUUAAGAGUACUUUACUUUAGUAUUUAGCCUGGCAAUCAAGGUCCUGCUUCAUCGCUUUUGAAGGAGGAUUAGCGCAUCAUCUAUUUAUUUAGACCUGUUUGAUAAUUCAAUUCAACACUUAAACAUAAUUGGUUCAAAUCUACGUAUUUGAUAACCAAAACUAGAACAUCUAAAUUCAUUAAGUGGCGCUGAAUUUUUUAGGCAAACUUUUCUCUAAAAAAUAAAUGAUAUUUACUUAAAUGUAUCAAAUUUUGUACUUAAUAAUUCACUGAUUUAAUAGAUUCUGAUUUCAAAUUUCAGAUUUAAAACUUCAAAUUUCAACUUUCAAACUUCAAUUUUAUCAAACACAUCCUUACUAAAUAACUUCCUCUUAAUCACUUAUAAGAAGGAGAGUUUAUAUAUAUAUGCUGCAAAUUAGCGAAAAUUCCAAAUUCCGCCACCACUUGUAUGUAGAGAAAUUUAUGAAGCUUUGUUACCACUACGUAAAUACGAGCAUUCCAAUCCUCUUUGUCUGAAUCGUUGCACUUGACCAAGUCCAUCCUGUCUGCGGACAUUAUGGAUCCCUUCCAGUAAGCAUGUUCAUCCCUGUCCGCCCAUCUACUCCUUCCAUUUGCCUUUUUUAAGUCCUUUAACAGCCCCUCCCAUGGCUUUACACCAGUGUUAGGCCUACAACAUUUAUAUAAACAAAUAAUAAGCGCUAAUUCCUGAUUUAAAAAAAAAUAAUCACAUUAGGUUUGACACAAAACAAAAAGAAAAAGAAAAAAUUAUUUAAACAUACAAACAGGAUCCCAUCAAUUUAUUCUAGAAUGUAAAUUUGCCUCAUUUCUAUGGAGUUUGGAACUUGCCUCAUAUCCAAGGAGUAAUUUGCAUAUUACGACCACCAAAAAAAAAAAAAAGAGAAAGGAAGAAGAAGAGAAGAAAGAAAGAAUCGUACCAUCCCCAGAAUGACCAAUCUGGAAAAACGAUGUCGAAGGUGGCAUCGUUUCCAUCAUAGCCGAAGAGUGGUGGCGGGGCCUUGUCACCGGGCUGAGGAUAAAGAUUUUUCUUAAUAAUUGGGCGGUCCCUCAUGUGAAACAUUAGGUCCAAGUCAGGCAUUUCACCGGGAUAUCUCCGUAGCAACUGCACAAUCCCCCACUGCGUAUAAAUGUCUCUAUUGUAACGCGACUUUGAGUAGGUCUCUACGUAAGCCUUCCCAUUCACUAUUACCAAUCUGAAAGCAGCCUUUUCCUUAGCCUUCUUCACCAUGUCCAGUGUUACUCCGGUUUCUCUCCAGGGCGAUAGAUCUUCGUGGAUCCAACGGAAGAAAUCAGGACAGGUAGGCUGUGGUUUUGAUGGACGUUCUUGAUUUUCAAAGUGACCAAGUUCGGAUGGGGAUUCAUUUCCAGGGCACGUCAACUUGCUGUUACCGGGCAAACAGUUCAGUUGGGUUCCAUGAAUCUUGUUCUUAGUCUCAGGUGCUGAUAUUGAUUUUUGCGAGUAGUUGUGAGGACUUUUCUUCUCAAACAUCAUGCUAGCAGAUGUUGAUUUUUGCAGGUAGUUCUGCACAUUUACGAGUAACUGAGAGAGUUGUACAAAUGAAAUCACAAAUCAAAAAACAUCCAUUCAGCCUGGUCCGGAAAAUCCUACAUUCUUUUCCCUUGAUAUAUAUAUCAUCAAUAACUAACGAUCAAUCUAGUCAAUGACCGAUCACAUAAAUCUCUAUUUAUAGACAUCAAAGUUUGGUAUCAUCAUAAAACCUUCACUGUAGUUCUACGGUGGAAGUUGGGCACAAAACUGGAAACUGUGGCAUGCAUAAUUAACCAGAAAUUAAGGAGAGAGUUAUUAGAGGUUUUACGUACGGAUGGGUCGAUAAAGCGUGAGUAGGCAAAAGCAGCCAUGCAGGAGAUGACGAAGAUUGACAAAGGAAGCCAAGAUCGCCAGUUAUGAUGCCCAAAUCCAUGCACCUCUUUAUCUCUCAUCUUUACGUUGUCCAGUCCUCCUUAUACGCCUUAUUUUUUUUUUCCGUUUAAGACGCCGUUAGAUCACCGGCUAGCUUACCACUCUUGGUCACUCUGUGUUCCCCACUUGAACGGCCUUCGUCGUUGGAUUGCAGCGAAAGUCUUUAAUAAGUUUUUUUCUAUUUUUUUUUUCGGGCGAGCGAGGAUUUGGGAAUUGGGAUUCCCCAGUUGGGUUGCAGAUGAACCCCGUGUAUGCAUAUCCCACGAAGGAAGGAUGUAAAGCCAAGAAGUUAAAUCAACUUUAAGCUAUAAAAAUAGGUUGAUGACAUAGGGAUGGAAGCUGUUAAUGCUCUAUUGACUUGCAUUGCAGCUUUGGGGCUCAUUAAAGAUAAACUACGGCUAAUUGGUGAUGUUUCCUCGUCAAACAGGUAACUCAGACUCAAAUCCGGUGGGAGAAGGCACUUGAAAGUCACCCGGCCCCUAACUAAUUCUCGGGUUGGAAUUCUCUACAUUGGAUUUCUCUCCGUUGGUCUCUCUAUUUCAAUUUAUUUAAAGGGUAUUGUUAUUUGCGCUUCCCCUAUGUUAUUUGCAUUUUCACUAUCACAUUUUUAUCUUGAUGAGACCAUAUUAUCUCUGUCCUGAUUUCUUUUCCUAUCCUAUCUUGUGUUCGCAUGCAAGGAAGUUAGGUACAAUUGCGUACGUGUUCAAAAGGAAAAAAAAAUUAAUUUUUGCUUCUCUUUUUCUAAAUCUAAAUAACUGUUUUUAAUUUAUUUUUCAUAUUCUUAUUUGAAUUUCAAUUUUCCAGAUUUUUUAUGAGCACGAUUGAGCUUCUAUUGCAUCAUUUUGAUAUUAGAUGCUGUUAUGCUUUUGUUGAAAUAUGCUAGAAAGUUUCAUUCUCUCUAUGGUGGCUAUAUGAUCUAUUCUCAGUAGAGUUUUUAAAGAAUUAGUGUCCUAUUUAUAAGACGUUAUAGUUAUACUCAAUUUUUGGUCAUCUUUGACACUUGAAUUUUUUUAUUUAUUUGUUUUUUUUUUGGGCUUGAAGUUUGGACUCUAUUCAUAUUACAUUGCUAGAUUGAUUUUUGACAUCAUAUAAUUUCUUAAAGUUUUAUUGAAAAAUACAUAAUACAUAUUAGUGACAAUUUUAAAUUAGCCAUUUUAAUGUGUAAUGGAAUAAUUAAUUGAUUUUAGAAUGUAAGAGAAAAUCUAGUAAAGUUAACUCAUAAACAAAGAGAUGAAAUUAGGGAGAGGAAAAUAUGGUCUUAUCAAAAUAAAAAUGGAAUAGUGAAAGUGCAAAUAACAUAUGGAGAGUACAAAUAACAUUACCUUAUCUAAAUUACUAUAACUUUAUAAAAUCAUCCGAUUGUAUCAUUACUUUUCUUUUAAUUGUUAGAUCAACAUACUAAAAACUAAUAUUCUUUUGAGAAUAUUUUGACAUUCAAUUUAUAUGAAACAUUUGAACAAUGAAGAACGAGUCAAAAUUUAUAAUGAUUAAAACAACAAAAUUUAGUCAAUUUCAUAUUAAAUUUUAUGUAUAACUUAUACCAGUGAUGAAAUAUAUUAUGCAUGGUGUUGAUUUUUGAAAAUAAUUUUUAAAUUAAUUUUAUUAGGAUAUAAUGGGGAGAAAUUCUUUCCAUUGCAAUGAAGAGGUGUUUAGCCCACUAAUCCUCUACUUCCACUCUCAUGGGACAAUGCUACAGUUCGUGAGUCACGCUAAUGGGGUAAAUUUUUCAGUUCAAUUGACAUUGGUGACAAGUCGGAUGUUAUAGUAUCGUGUUAGUAUAAUUAAUAUUAGUGCUAAUAAAUUUAUAGGAAAAUUAGUAAGUAUGUCCCUAAAGCAGUAAGUUUAAUCACAAAUAGAAAUUUACGCUUUCAGUAAUCAAACUUACUUACUACUUGACAAAUUUUAUUUUUCUUUAAAUUGAAGGAAAAAUUUUGCUUCUUUUUUGAAGAAAUCCUCAACCUUUUCAAAUUUUAAUAAAGACUUCUACCACAUGCAAAAAAUGAAUUAAAUUAAAAAAGGUCUAUCCAUUUUUUAUGUGGAUUAAAAACGUUAAAAAUUGGUUAACGCUUAUGGACAAAAAGAGGAAGCAGGCAGAAAGGUAAAAAUGCAUAACUAGUUAUGUUUAUUUCGAGCGUCCCAAUACUGUUUCUCCAACGUCUCAGCUUGCUUCAUUGAAUUCUCUUUUCUCUCCAAAAUUGAAUGAAGAGUUUGUGGAUCAUAAGGCGGAGGCAUUGUGCAUGGCGGUGCAUCGGAUGGACCUCUAACAAAAGUUUCCAUCAUCAUUUCCUUCACCAAUCCCUGUGCAGGACAAGCCAUAAACUCGGAACAAACUUCGACCGCUUUCGGAGGAACACCUGGCUUGAAUUUCAAUAGCUUAGCGUAUCCGCUCAACAGGUGAAACAUGUAGUCAUACACGUAUUCCAUCUUCAACUCCUCUUGUAUGAAACUGCUUGCUGCCUUCCCAAUGGCUUGUGCCUGUCGUGUAUAUGAAUCUUUGUAAAUGAGAAAGGUUGGUCAUGGUGCAAAUUAAGCCAUCAAUUACCUCUUGCGGGUGGGUGUUGCCCCAGUCAACAGCAUGCUUUAGUGAUCUGCACUUGUCAUCAUUUCUUAUCGGCCAGUAAUGCUCCAAAGGCAUCAAACUUCUUGCAAAAAAAUCGUAAUAACGUGGCUUCACUAGUAAGGUCAGAGAAUCACAGGCGAGAAUGUACUUCUCACUCACAGACCAUCCAACGCCUUCGAUAUAGAUUUUGUAUCUGUAUAUAUGGUUCGGGCAGUUAGGAGUUACAAGAUCAAAGUUCAACUAAAGUAGGCAAAUAGCAGCUAUCAUUAAACCUUGAAAAAGAAGGGUCAUGUGUAAAAAAAAAAAUAAAAAAAAAAACAAUGCUACACAUCAUAUCACACACCUUAAUAAGAGUGAAUUUUGCCCCUUAUAUUCCAACUAAACUAGUGAUUGGCUAGAGUUAAUGAUUACCAUGUACAGAGUAACAAAAAGCCAGAAAAGGGAUCAACCACAAGCGAAGACAAGAGAUGGCAAGAAGUAAUCACCGUAAAGGUCUACUCUACCUGUGUGUGCAUUGGCUUGCUAAGUCAGAUUGUUUGUAACCUUGCUGCUGCUCACGAAUCCAGUCCUAUACAAAGUAUAAUCUGUGAGAUCUUUAUGCAAUUGACCUUUAUGUUAAAAUCAAUUAUAAUGAAAAAGAAGGAUAAUUUAGCGACACUGCCAAAUUGGACUUAAUUCUAGAAACGUGUAACUCCAGUUUAACACUUAAAAAUGCAUCGCCGAAUAGAAUGAGGUUGUGGUACCUGAGAGUAAAUGCGAGCAUUCCAAUCCUGUUUGUCUGAAACGUUGCAUUUUGCCAUAUCCAGCCUGUUUCGUGCCACUGCAGGGUUCCCCUUCCAGUAAGCAAGUGGCUCCCUCUCUACCCAUCUACUCCUCUCAUUCCCUUCUUUUAGAUCCUUUGACAAUGACUCCCAUGGCUUUAUAUUCAGCUCUGGCCUGCAACAUUUUUUCUCACGAGUAAACAAACUUAAACCCCACAUUCGUCGAUACAGGUAAAGCUAGCUCAUAAAAAAGUUUUUCUUCUUCUUCCUCUUUUUUCUUCCAAAAGAAAAGCCUAGAAUGAAAAUUCAGAACUAAAAGAAAAAUGCUCGGCGGUUGAAGUCUUCUCAAUGCAUUUCUCAUCUUCGAUCCCACAUGAAUUUUCACACAAGAAUCUUUGUACUGGAAUAAAAUAGAGGGGUAGUGAUCAUUAGACGAAUCUGUUGCAUCGUACGUAUAUAGCUUUUUCUUCUUUCUUUUUAAGGAAAAAAAUUUAAAGAAUCUGAUUAUGUCUGUAGAUGCAUGCCAAGUAUAAGCAAAUCGUACCAUCCCCAGAAUGACCAAUCUGGAAAAACAAUGUCCAAGGUGGCAUCAUCUCUACAGUAAGCGAAUAACGGCGGCGGGGCCAGUGAAUUUGGUCCGCUUUGAACUUCCUUCAUGAUAGCCGGCCGGUCGUUGCAGUCAAACAUGAGUUCCAGAUCAGGGAGUUGACCUGGGUACUUGCGCAAUAACUGAAGAAUCCCCCACAACGUAAAGGUGUCUCUACUAUGAUGCGACCUCCUGAACUUCUCCACGUAAGCCCUUCCAUUGACUAUAACCAAUCGGAAAUGGGCUGUCUUCCUAGCCAUGCUCAGCAUCUCCAACGUAAUUCCUGUUUCUCUCCAUGGCCAUAGGUCUUCGUGGAUCCAACGGAAGUAAUCUGGACACGUAGGUUGAGGAGGACUUGUAGCAAUGUUCUGAUCUUGUACGAGAAGCUGUGAUGGGUAGUAAUUUGCUGGGCAGGUCCGCUUCGAGAUUCCAGCUGUGCAGUUAAGCGGGAUUUCAAUUUUCUUUACGGGGAAUUCAUCAGAUUGGGUGGUUUUCUUGGUAUACUCUCUACUGUGGUAGUUGUGAAAUGUUAUGCCUGUGAAUAUGGAAUGCUCUGAGUAGUUUUGAGCAAUCGACUGCACAAGGUUAAGAAAAUUGUAGCGUCAAAAUCUAAGUUCUUAAUUUUAUUUUUUUUUUUUUGGAAGGGAGUUCUUAAUUUUUUGUUCGCGUUCUCUAAUUAGCAUCUAAAUCAUGGAAAACAAAUGGUUUAACUUGAACCUUAAUUAAGUUUACCACCAUAAAUUCUUUACGUAGCUAGCUUGUACAACUGAAAAAAGAAAAAAAAAGGCAACCGUAAUUGGUAAUUGUGGUAACAUUUGGGAUUCUGCAUAACAAGGAAGGAAAAUUCGCACUCAAGAACUUGUGGUGAGUAAAAGAAUGCUCAAACGUUUGGUACCACUGUAUUAUAAUAAGGCUGGGUAUGAUAAGGAAAAUGAUCAGUCUAACAACACAAAUCCCUGUAAAGUGCAAGCACAAGCACAAGGAAUGGGGGGAUCGACCACAAAGCAGUGAAAGCACAAACAACAAAAAGGAGAUGAGUAAAGUAUGCAGUGAGAAAGUUACGUACGGAAGCGUCAAGCAGGCGCGUGUAAACAAUUGCGGCAAUGGAGAGAAUGAUUAAGAACAAAAGUGGCAGUACAGAAGAUCGCCAAUAAUGCUGAUUGCGAAGACGAUGCUCUUUUAUAUGUGCUCUGUCUUUAAUUGCCUGCAUUCUGCAACUCCGACUCCGACCGAUCCGCAGCUUACAAUAAUGCUUGCGACAUUCUACAAUAAUUUGAAUGGUUUCGGAAUCUAAGAUUUAGAUUUGAACAGAGCCAUCAUGCUUAGAAUUUUUGCGAGGUCAACUAAUUUUUGGGAAAAACAAGCUGGAUCUGGAAUUCUAUACUGCUGCUAACGGCGAACUGGAAGAAGAAGCCAUACGCGACGCCCAAAGAGAUAAAUCCGAACUGCGCGAAGAAGAGAGAAAAAAAAAUAGAGAGAGAGAAAGAGCUUCUUGGAACUUCGGACUUGAUUUAGUUGCAGCUCCAGCUUAUCGUCUACCGGUUUAUGCGGGACGUAGAAUCAAAUUAUUGGCAGGGGAUGAGGACACACAGAGAAAAUGAUUAAUGGCAGGGCAGAGGACAUACAAAGAAAAUGAUAUGUCAUCGGAUUGAUGACUACGAGUAUAUCACUACCAAUAAUUUUUUUGUAAAAUUAUGAAAAAAAAUAAAGAGAUUACAGUCUUUUUUUUGUAAAAUUAUGAAAAAAAAAAAAACAAGGCCUUAACAAAGCAAAGGAUGGAAAAAAAGGCCUGAAUUUGAAGAAAAACUUUUGAGUAAGGAACCAGCUUCACGGUAUUGCCGUUUGUUGGAAAAAAAAAGAAAAAAGAAACCAGCUUCACGUUGAGUCGAUGCAUUGAAUAGUAUUGGUAUCUUACAAACGAAGAAUCUGUCACUUUCUAUUUUAGUGCUGCUUUUGUCAUUGGGAUUUAAAAUUUGACACCUCCUCUAGUCCACGCUGACCCGUUUCUAUGGAUUUCACCCAUCGCGGACGUUCUGUUCAAAUAUACAUCACUCACUCUAGUUAUCGUUUCUCGUCAAGCAAGUUUUCAUGUAGCCCGUACCGAACAUAUGGAAUAAAUCAUUUUCGUGAUCUUGAAGAAAAGAUUCUUUUUCCUUUUUGUUUUGAAACACUAAAAAACAUAAGAUCCCAUUUGUAUUGCUAGUUUUUAGAGUUUUUAUACAGAAAUAUGGGCCUGUUUGGAACCUGAGUUUUUUGGGAGUUUGUCUAAAACUUUACUGUAGUGCACUGUAGAAGUUUUUGAAAAAAUUUUGUAGAAAUUUUUGUAAGGUGAAAAAUUUUGUAGAAGUUUUUAUAAGGUGAAAAAUUUCUUUUUUCUUUUUUUUUUCCUUUUCUAUUUUUUUUCUCUUUCCCUUUCUUUUUCUUUUUCUUUUUCUUUUUCUUUCCUCUUUCUUUUCUUUCUUCUCUUUUUCUUUUUUUUUCUUUCCUCUCUCUUUUCUUUCUUCUCUUUUUCUUCUUCUUCUUCUUCUUCUUCUUCUUCCCCGUUACCUCCGCCACCCCCAGCAGCCUGCCAGCAACCGCCACCCCUCUCCUCCCUUUCCCCUUCUCCUCCCCUCCCCCCGCCGCCCCCUCUGCCCCGCCUUCCCCCUCCCCCCGCAGCCCCCCUCUGCCCCCAUCCCCCUCCCCUCCUUCCCUCUCCCCCCGCGCCCUCUGCCCCUUCCCCACUCCCCCCCGCUUUCCCCUCUCCCCUGCCGCCCCCUCUGCCCCUUCCCGCUCCCCCCGCCGCCCCUCUGCCCUUCCUCCCCCCGCGCGCCUCUGGCCCGCCCUUCCCGCCUUCCCCGCUGCCCUGCCCCCUCUGCCCCUGCCUUCCCCCUCCCCGCUGCCGCCCCCUCUGCACCUUCCUGCACCCCCCUUCCCCUCCCCUCCGCCCCCUCUGCCCCGCCACCCCCGCCUUCCCUGUCCCCUUCCCGCUUCUCAUCCUCUUUCUUUUCUUUCUUUUUUUUUCCCACAGAGAGGUGGGAAUGGUGCCGGACGUUGAGAGAAAAAAAAAGACAAGAGAGGAUGAUGGCAGGGGAGGAAGAGGGGGAGAGGGAAAAAAAAAGAAGACCGGCACCGGCACCGGAAAUUCACGCGGGAACCAGCGACAGAGCCGGCAAUGGAGGUGGUGGUGGGAGAGGAAUAAGAAGAAAAGAGGAAGGAAAAUUUUUUUUUUUGUUGUGUUUUGGAUAUUUUAAGUGUGUAGGUUAAAAAUUUUGGUAAGUUUUUUGGGGUUCCUGUAGCACAAGUUGUUAAAAAACUAGUUUUAUACAAACUUGGUAAAAAACCAAGCUUCCAAACAGGGCCAUAGGUCCUGUUUGGAACCUUGGUUUUUAGGCAAGUUUGUAUAAUACUAGUUUUUUAACAACUUUUGCUACAGGAACCCAAAAACUUCUCCCAAAACUUUCGCCCCUUUCUGAAACAUUUUAACAAAACGACGUCGUUUUGGCUGGUUUUUUCCUUUUCAAUUCUCAGCAACACAGAAGACUCUUUCCUUUGUUUCUUUCGCUGCACAAAAGUUUUUGAUCUUUCUGUUAGUUCUCCGGAGUCGACCUACUUCUAUGCCGGAGUCUUCAGUUGAUCAGAGCAACGAGAAGCUAAGUGAGUGAUUCUCCAUUUUGUUGGUGAAACCCAUUCGAAAAGCUUCAUUGGUCAAUUGCGAGUUCAGAAACUGGGCGCAGAGGGGAAGGGGUGGCGAGGCAAAGGGGGAAUGGCAGCUUGCUUCCACUGGUGGCGGGCGGGGCUGAUUCACUGAGCCUAUCCGCUCGCAAUCCAUAUAGGACGUCUUCCUCUGAGCUGGUGAGAGAAGGAGGAAGGGGCAGCGGGGGUGGCGGGGCAAAGGGGAGGGGGAAGGGGCAGAGAAGGUGGCGGGGGGAGGGGGUGGUGUGGCAGCGGGGAGAGGGGGCUGGCGGGGGAAAGGGGUGGCGGGGGAAAUGCAGAGGAGAGGAGAAGGGGAAAGGGAGGAGAGAGGGUGGCGGGAGGGGAAAGGAAGAAGAAGAAGAAAGAGAGGAAAGAAAAGAAAAAGGAAAAAAGGAAAAAGAAAGAGAAAGAAAGAAAAAAAAAAAGAAAAGGAAACAAAAAUUCACCUUACAAAAUUUUUUAUCUUACAAAAAACUUCUACAAAAAAAUUUUUCACCUUACAAAAACUUUUAUAAAAUUUUUUCAAAAACUUCUACAGUGCACUACAGUAAAGUUUUAGACAAACUCUCAAAAAACAGGCUCCGUUUGGAUUAGCUGUUUUUGGGUUUGUUUUUCAAAAACACCACUGUAGCAUUUUGAAUCUGAAAAAUAAGUCCGUUUGGAUUAAUUAUUUUUGGGGUUGUUUUUCAAAAAUUAUAUGAAAAACUUUUACUGUAGAUUUUUUUGGAUUAUUUUUAGAGGUAUUUUUGAAACAUAUUUUUGAGUAUUUUUAGAAUAUUAUAAUUUUUAUAUUUUUAUAUAAAUAUACAUUUAUGCAUUUAUAAUACAUUUAUAUUUACAAAUGUAUAAAUGUGCAUUAUUAUAAAUGUAUAAAUUAUAAAUGAAUAUUAUAUAAAUGUAUAAAUGUAUAAAUUAUAAUUUUUAUAUUUUUAUAUAAAUAUGCAUUUAUGCAUUUAUAAUACAUUUAUAGAUAUUUAUAAAUAAAUAUAUUUAUAUAUUCAUAUAAAAAUAUAUAAAUGUAUUAUAUUAUAUAUAAUACAUAAUAUAAAUAUAUUUAUAAAUGUAUAAGUGUAUAUUAUUAUAAAUGUAUAAAUUAUAAAUGAAUAUUAUAAAUAUAUUAUAAAUUAUAAGUGUAUAUUAUUAUAAAUAUAUAAAUUAUAAAUGAAUAUUAUAAAUGUAUAAAUUAAUAUAUUAUAAAUAUAUAUUAAUAUUAUGUAGAAAUGUAUUUAUAUAAUUAAUAUAAAUGUAUAUAUGUAUUGAUAUUAUGUAUAAAUGUAUUAUAUUAUAUAUAAUACAUAAUAUAAAUGUAUAUUUAAAUGUAUAAGUGUAUAUUAUUAAAAAUGUAUAAAUUAUAAAUGAAUAUUAUAUAAAUGUAUCAAUUAAUAUAUUAUAAAUAUAUAUUAAUAUUAUGUAGAAAUGUAUUAAUAUAAUUAAUGUAAAUGUAUACAUGUAUUAAUAUUAUGUAUAAAUGUAAAAUUAAUAUUAUGUAUAUUAUUAUAAAUGUAUAAAUGUAUUAUAUUAUAUAUUAUACAUAAUAUAAAUGUAUAUUAUAAAUAUACAUAAAUAUUUAUAUAUUAUGUAUAAAUGUACAUUUAUAUAAAUGUAUAAUAUAAUAUAUAUUAUAUUAUAUAUAAUAUAUUAUAAAUAUAUAAAAAUAUAUUAUAAAUAAAAUAAAAUAUUUAUAAUAUGUAAGUAUAAAUAUAUAAUAUUAGAAAUGUAUAAUAUAUAUAAUAUACAUUAUUAUUAAUAUAAUUUAUGUAUAAUAUACAUAAUUGAAAUAUACAUAUUAAUAUAUAUUAUAAAACAAAAUUGAAUAAAUAUAUUUAUAAAUUUAUAUAUAAAUAAAUGUAUUUAUAUAAAUAUAUAAUAUUUAUUUCAAUUGAUAUAAUAUAUAUAAUAUUAUACAUAAUUGAAAUAAAUAUAUUUAUAUUAAUAUUAUAUAUAUAAUAUACAUAAUUGAAAUAUACAUAUUAAAAUACAUAAUUGAAAUAUACAUAUUAAAAUACAUAAUUAAAAUAUACAAAUUGAAAUAUACUUAUUAAAAUAUACAAAUUAAAUAUACAUAAUUGAAAUAUAUUUGGAGUUGUUUUUGAUAUAUUGUUUGGAUAUGGUGUUUUUGAAGUUGUUUUUGAAAUACACAUUACUGUAGCAUUUGGAAUGUGAAAAACAGUUUUUCAAAAACAGGUGCAAAAACACUCAAUCCAAACGUAGCCUCAGGUUCCAAACAGGCCCAUACUGUAACUAUUUGAUAUAUAUAAAAUAAAUAAAUUAUUAAAAAAUAUAUUCACGAAAAACAUAAAAAAGAUGAUCUAGAUGGAAAACAAUGGUUUAAUACCCCAAAAAAAAUAUAUAAGAGAGGACUCAAAAUCCAACUUUUGUCCGAACAAAGGCCCAUUUGGCAAGUGAGUUUUUGGAUAUUUGUUUAAAAUUUUACUGUAAUUUACUGUAAAAGUUGUAAAAAAAAAUUUUUAAGUGUGUAAAUUUUUGAAUAUUUUGAAAUGUAUACUUUAAAAUUUUUAAGAAAUUUUUAAAGGUUAUUGUAUCUAAAAUUAUUAAAAAAUUUGAAACAAACAAACUUGGUCAAAAAUUUGCUUAACAAACAAGGCCUAUGCACAGACAAGGAAAAGUGAUUAAUCAGCCACUAGAACCAAUAAUCUAGCUAUGAAAUAAUAUCCAGGACAAAAUAAGAAAGAAAACUGAGGAGUACUAGGCUCCUAGGCAAAAUAAGAAAGAGAACUAAUACAAGGCUCUUCCUCGUUAGCUGGAUUGAGUUUUUCAGGGCAUGACACCUAAACAGCCAUUCUCUAGUAUUUUCUAGUUUACGGCAUCAUCGAAAGCUCAGUCUCAGCUUCGUCGUGUGCUCAAGUUGUUCGUGUGAUCUUUUUAUAUGGCAGGCAGUAUUUGCCGGAAAAAAAUAGAAGAUAUCAAUAAAUGCUUCAGCCACGAGAGAGAGAGAGAGAGUACAGCUGGAAAAUACAGAGGAUAUCAAUAAAUGCUUUAGCCACAAAAUAGAGAUAGAGAGAAAGAGGGAGGGAGAACAUCAAUACAGCUGUCUCUGUUUUCAAGUUCCAAUCGAACAGAGAUCUCACACGUAACAUAAUUGAGUAAUGAUGCUACAGAUUACCGGCAUUUACCCAAGGUGCUGCUUGUUUCAGAGAAAUGGAUUGCCCGUAGCCAUGUGGGUCUUGAAGAUGGGCCUUUCAUGUAACGUCCGUAGCUGUGCGCGUGGUCCACAGCCAUAAGCCUCGCUACCCAUGAUCCAUACACCAAAUUCCGGCCUAAAAGUCUCAAUUUCAAAAAAUAAUUCACCACCAAGGCCUCC